rnacentral:lncRNA from 1 species
GGUGGUGGAGACUUAUACUUGUAAACCGGAGGUGGUGGGGGUGGAGACUUGUACUUGUAAGGGUGCUUGGGUGGGGAUAGAGGUGGUGGUGGGGGAGACUUGUACUUGUAGGGAUGCUUGGGUGGUGAUGGUGGUGGUGGUGGUGGAGACUUGUACUUGUAAGGAUGCUUUGGAGGUGAUGGUGGUGGUGGUGGAGACUUGUACUUAUAAGGAUGCUUUGGGGGUGAUGGUGGUGGAGGUGGGGACUUGUACUUGUAAGGGUGCUUGGGUGGUGAUGGUGGUGGAGGUGGUGGGGACUUGUACUUGUAAGGGUGCUUGGGUGGUGAUGGCGGUGGAGGUGGUGGAGACUUAUACUUGUAAACUGGAGAUGGUGGGGGUGGAGACUUGUACUUGUAAGGGUGCUUGGGUGGUGAUGGUGGGGGUGGGGGUGGGGGUGGGGACUUGUACUUGUAGGGGUGUUUGGGUGGUGAUGGUGGUGGUGGUGGUGGGGACUUGUACUUGUAAGGAUGCUUGGGUGGUGAUGGUGUUGGAGGUGGAGGAGACUUGUACUUGUAAGGAUGCUUGGGUGGUGAUGGAGGAGGUGGUGGGGACUUAUACUUGUAAACAGGAGUUGGUGGGGGAGGAGAUUUGUACUUGUAAGGCUUCUUGUGUGGUGGUGGUGGUGGUGGAGAGUAGACCGGAGGAGGCGGUGGUGGAGACUUGUAAUGGUAAGGUGGUGGUGGGUACUUCUUAGGAGGUGGUGGAGGAGAAGAAUAAGUGUAAUCUGCUGAGGUUUCAAAAGGCAAAUUGAGAGACACUGCUAAAACUAAAAGAGUGAGAAAGAGAGAGGUCAUUGAUGACCCCAUUUUCCCCAUACUUCUAAAAAUGGGUUUAAUUUGGUUAUGCUCUUAGCAACCCUCUUCACUCCCUUUAUAUAGACUUUUUUUUUAACCUUAUAAUCAUGAUAAAAGUUUGAAGAUGGACCGAACCUUCAGCAGCAUGUAAAAAAGACAUUACGUUUAGGUUAUUAGCAUGGUAUGAUAUAAUAAUUCUCUAUUCUCUUCCUUGUCGUUUCCCAUAAAUUCAAUUUUCUCUAUUAAAUAUUUAUCAAAUUCAUUUCUCACUCCCUAUUAAUUCUUUAAUAAGUUUAUAGAAUAUGAAUAAUUAAUCAUUAAACUCGAUUUAAUAAAUACUUUAAACAAUUAAUAAUUUAUCUUAUUUUAUGCUUUAAUUAAGGCAUCAAAUCAUAAUCCUAUUUUAUAUUUUGAAAAUUUAUCAUUUUUUAAAGAACUUAAUUGAUUAAAAUGUGAUUCUAAUAUUUGGCAGGAAAAAUUAGUUUACUUUCCUUAGAAUGUAAUAUUCUUUUGAGAGUUAUUUUCUUACUAAUAAUAGAAAGUGAUAAUUCGUGAGAAAAUUACUUUCACAUGUAAAUAAAAAUUAUUAGAACAAAAAAUUAACUUUCUUUUAUUUAUGUUUAGGUACUAAUUAACUUAUUGAGAUAAAGAUAGUUGUAGCUUGCUUUUUCAUGUCAUUUUCUUAUCUUUACAACUUCAAACCAUUAUUCUAGAGUAAGUUUUUUUUUUUUUUUCUAAAUAGUAGAUAAAUAUCUAUAUUUUAUUUUGCUAUAAGAAAAUUAUAUUUUUUAGCAUACAAAACUUAAAGACAACUUGUAGAAUCAAGUAAUUCUAUGAAAAGCAAGCCUAUUCACAUAUAAUACCUAUUACUCUAGCAAUAAUAAUAUUGACAUUGUCUAAAUUUUCUAAUAAAAAAAUUAUAUAAUUUGUAUGUGUUAAAAAUGAAAAAUAUGGCGGUUAUUAAAAAAGAUUUCAUACAUCUAAAUGAAACUACUAAUUUAAAAAUUAGUAUUGAGAUAAUUUCAAGUUAAUAUUGAAUAUACUUGAAUUUGUACAUACAAAGUAAUGAGGGUAAAAAUUUUGUAAAUUGUACAUCUUCACAAUCUUGAGUUAAUAUACAAUUUUUUAAUGUAUUAAUAUAAUGUUUUAGAUCAAGAUGUGAAAAAACAUAACUCAAAUAUUUGUUAAUAAUAAAAAAUUAUUAAUAAAUAUUUAAUUCAAAAUUUAUUAAUAAUAAAAAUUAUUGAAAAAUAUUAAAUACGUUAAUAUUAUUUUUAUAUAAUAAUGAUAAUUUUGUACAGUAAUCUUAUAUUCUCAAUAAGUGUUAAAUGUCUCAAGAUUUUAAUUAAUACUUUUCAGUGGUUACCAAACAUUGUGAAAUAACUUCUUGAACAAUGAUAUUCUUAUCAAUCACAUUCCAUUAGAAAUUUAACAUAGGAAAGCACCAAAACAACCGCUUAAAAAUGAAUGUGCAUGAUUAAAAUCGCGAUAAGUCUUGUUUAUCUAAAAUUUAAAUAUUCAUUUUAUUAUUUAAAAUAUAUUAAUUUUCCAAAAACAAUCAUUAAUAUUUAUAUUUCUAAUUUUAAACAUUCUUUUGUUAAUUAAAUGAUAGUGUAAACGGUUAAACUCAAAUCGAAAGCAUUUUAUCUUAUAGUAGAUUAUAUGACUCAUAUUAUGGUUGAAAGUAAAAUGUAUAAAAUCAAUACAAACAUCAAAUAUUAAACUUGCACUCAAUAGAUUUUAAAAUUUCUAAUUUUACCACUAAUCUAUUUUAAGAUUUUUAAAAAAUCGUACUUUAGAUUAUCUAAUUUAAAUUUUAAAAUUAUUAAAAAUAAAAAAAUUCUUAAUAAAAAAAUUUGUUUCAAAUUUUUAACCUUUUAAUAUAAUUGUUUUAACUGGUUAUCUAAACUAAAUAAAAACUUAUUUAGUAUAAAAAAAAGUGGUAAAUGUGAAAGGAGCACAAAUCACAACUACAAUAUGCUACAUUAGUUUUAUAAUUGGAUUAAUUUAAUCACCGGCAGAGGAAAUGUGUUAGUUCUAGCUACCACCAAUUUAUUUUAAUUCCUUUAAAAAUAUUAGAAAAAAUCAAUUUGAUUUUUAAUAAUAGAUCUAAUUACUUAAAGGAACAUCGGUGAUGUCCACAUGGCAUACAAGGUUAAGCAUAUAAAAAAAGAACAAAAAGAUUAAGUAUCUUUGCAAGAUAGCUUUCUGAAAUAAAUAAAACUUAAAUAAAAACAAUUUUAUUAUCAAAAUAAAAAGAAAAAAGAAAAGAAAUACUAGUGUUUUUAAUUAAAAUAGAGUGAUCUGGGUAGAAUCUUUUACUUAAAUACUGACAUUGACUUUAUAAGCUAUUUUUUAUCAAAAGAAGAAAGAGAAAAGCAUCCGAUUGAAGAUGUGAAUUAUUAAAUUAAAAUUAAUCAUACAUGUAAAAUUUUAUUGUGCUUUUUUCUAGCCCUCCGAAUGACAUUAUGCUUUGAUUACAACAUUCUUGCUCAGAGAUCGGGUUUGAAGAUGAACUCGGAUGCAUUUAGAUUUUUACAAGUAAAUUAAAGGAUGUUAGAACUUGUAUUCCGAUAAACUUAUAAUACAGAAAGCAAGUAAUAUGUGACUGUACAUAAUGGCUAUGAGGCGAGGAUAUGAUAUGAGAAGAUAGAGAUGAGAGAUUGCACUUAAGGGGUUAACACCACUUUCCUUUUUGUGUUUGGUCCCCAAAGCAUCUCUUAUUGGCUGAUGUUGCAAGGCCGUCCCAUAAGUUGGUCUAAAAGUGCUUGAUAGCUAGAAUUAAUAUUGUGGUAUAACAUAUGUCACCACUAGGUUUGAAUAAGGUUACACAGUGAUUUGAUGAAGAUUUAAAAAAGCAUAGAGAUAAUUAUGUUGCAAAUAUUGUAAAAGUAAGAGCUAAAUUGUUUGGCUUUAUUAGAGUUUAGACUCUGUUAGUCUAUUACCAUUCUCUAUUAGUCUGUUACCAUUUUGUUAUAUAGGCUGUAAUAUUGUUAGAAAGCAGUUAGCAGCUGUUAGUCAUAGUAGUUAGUCAUACAAAUAUAAAUUCUAUUCAUGUAUUGUUCAAAGGUAAGCUAAUAAUAUCAGAAGCGAUUUAAUGUAUUCAUUCUACUUUUUUUUUAUUCUUCAUAAUACAGUUGUUAACAUGGUAUCAGUACCCUAAUUUCUUAGAGGUCGCUUCUAUUGUAGAUCCAUGGCCAAUUCCACUGAUUCUACCUCCACUGGUCGUAGCAGUCCCUCGUUCUCGAUUCAUGUUUGGUUCAAUCGUUUCCUCGUCGUCACACUGAGAAGUUAGAUGAAAGAAAUGUUAUGCAAUGCCAACAGCAUAUCCUAUUGAUAAUUGAAGGGUAUGAACUCAUAAGAUUUUUAGAAGGGACGUUACCUACUCCGCCUCGCUUUGUGUCAUCUCCCGAUGGAACCUUGGCUUCGGCUCCCGAUGCAUUCCUGUUUGUUCAGCAAGAUAAGUUACUCGCUCUUUGGUUGCUUUCUACGAUUAGUGCUCCUUUGUUGUCCUCUUUUAUAGCUGCUAAGACACCGUGUGAGGUUUGGAGCACUGUGAAUCACCUCUUUACUGUUUCCACCAGAGCGAAGUUAUCGCGUAUUAAGCAUGAACUCCACUCCAUCAAGAAAGGCAUGAUGACUGUCAAAGAGUAUAUUAUUAAGAUUCAAAAUACCUGCACCUUACUCGAGGCAUCUGGAUUGGUGGUUUCGAAGGCCGAGAAGGUAGAGAUCAUUCUUGCUGGCCUAUCGUCAGAUUAUGAUGUCGUUUUAACACUACCAUAGUUCUCUUCUGAAACUCUUCCGUUACAGAAGAUAGUUGUUGUGCUACUGAAGUUCGAAAGCCGUCAGACUCAUGUCGUGAAUGACAUACCUUUUCAUGCUCAUCUGGUAGAGGCCACUUCGGCGACAUCGGUGGAGGACUCCGUACAUGGUAGCCAUCCUCCUCCUGGUGCUCGUGGGCAUGACUUUCGACUCGGCUUCAGUUCCAGAUCUAUGGUUGCUAUGGACAUCUGGCACAACGCUGUUAUUAUCAUUUCAACCGCGAAUACAGUGGUCUAUCUGCUCUGACCAUGGCGCAGGCUUCGCUUUUGUGCUGGGCACUAUUCGUGUGACAAUGUUUUUGGUGCAACUGGUCUCUUGACCGGCUGGUUUCCAUCAGCUCAUCCUAGUUCAAACCCCUUCGAUGUGCCUGGACAGUGUGCCGAUUCUUCGGUGACGGUACCGGCGCAUUUCCCUUAUGGCUCCUCUUGGGGAGGAUGGCCACAUUUGUAAAACAAUGCCUCCCUUGUGCCAAGUCUACCGAAUGUUAGGGUUUCUAACCUUUUUGCUCCUAAUUUUAACAAUGAGGCAAGCUAAGUGUUUGGGCCCGCUGUUGAACCAGGCUCAAAUAGUGACCAAUCUGGUGGUCCUCACUUGCCGCUGAAGAUGGGCUAACGCAUUGGGCCAUUCGCUGGUGUUCCUAGGCCAACUGCUUCAGGCCAAGAUUUUGGCCUAAAUGGAAUUGGUAGGCCAGCCAGUGCUCGUCCUAGCAUUGGAUAGGGUUCACUUGGGUCAAAUGUCAAUUUUAUUGGACUUGAGGGUUCUUUUGGGUAUAGACAAGAGUUUGGGCCCACCACUGGCAAUGUUUCAGUGCCAAUUAAUAGAUCAUGUGUUCCAUGGCACACAAAAUCGAGGGCACGCGUUAUUGAUUUUGAUUCUUCGCUGUGCGUUGGGUUGCAUCGCUUUACUAAUUUUCACGCAUCCGAUUUUUUUACUACCACUGGGUCUAAUGCCAAUACAACUCCAUAUAGGUCUAAUUUUGAUAAUGGUAAUUCUUACAUUCCUAUGCCUAUAGGGACCUCAUCAUGGUGUCUUGAUUUAGGGGCUACGCAUCAUGUCUGUUGAGAAGUCUCUGCCUUGAAUAAGUCUACGCCAUACUCAAGUACAUCUCCUUUCUUCACGGAUGAUGGUAUUCCUACAAAAAUAUCGUAUGUUCGGAAUCUUAUCUUGUCUAUGAAAACCAAAUUGCUUCAUUUGUCUAAUGUUUUGUGUGUGCCAAAUAUACGGAAGAAUUUGCUAUUUGUUUCUCAGUUUGCUAAUGACAAUAACGUGUUCUUUAAAUAUCACCUGUCUUAUUGUGUUAUUAAAGACAUCCAGACUCAUGAAAUUUUACUACGGGGCUACACUCGUGAUGGGCUCUAUUAUUUUUCGUCGGUUACUCUUGCUCUGUUUGUCGUUGUUCCUUUUUUCAUAGCACUGGGAUCUAGAGUCGCAAUGCAUAUGAUGAUUGUUUUGCAUUAUGGCAUCACAGGCAUAGUCAUUUGUCUGCCUCGAUUGUUAAACUUGUUCUCGAUAAGUGUCAAGUUGUUUCAAAAUAAAAUGUGCCUUGAAAAUAUUUGUAUUGCAUGUCAAAACGGGAAGUCUCACAAACUGCCUUUUUCAAGUUCUACUACUGAAUAUACAAAUUUGUUUGAUUUGGUUGUCUCUAACUUAUGGGGACCAACGUCUGUUGUCUGUAGAAAUAAUUUAUAUUAUGUUUUGUUUAUCGAGAUGUGUAGUUGAUAAACCGUAAUUUAUACAUAUUUUUAUCCUAUGUUUGGCACAUUUAUAGAUGAUUUAUCCUUAGAUUUGGUGAAUUCGAUGCUCCUAAUCCUUUAAUUUCAUAUUUUAUACUUAGGAGAGCAUAGGAGGGCAAAAAGAGCGAGAAACGGGCCGAAAACGGAAAAAAUAGACCCACAUGGGAAAUCAACAUGGCCUGGACUUCCUCACACUGGUAAGCCACACGGCCGUGUCCAUUUGGCAGGAUCGAAGCAAGACUUACACGAGUAGACUACACGCCCGUGCCUUUUUAAUAGCCUUGACCACUGUCUGGAGCAAUCGCGCACGGGCAUGUCCCUGUCGAGCCCAAGUAUAGUCUUAUUCGGAAAAGGUCUAUUUUAAGGGCUCUUAGGCAUUCUAAAGCUUAUUUAAUCACCUGAGAAGGCACUUAAAAGGGGGGACACGGAGUAGGAAGCAAGGAAUUACUCGAAGAAAGCCGAUUGAUCCAUCUCAGAAGCCUGAUUAUUCAUCAAGACUGAAAAUCUCCCUUCAAUUACCAUUCAGGAGUUUUGGGUUUUCUUUAUGUUUUGUAUUCAUUAUUCUUCUGAGAUGUUUUCUUUUAUAAUUAUGAUUUAAACCCUCUAAAUACCUAAGGGGAAUGAAACCUAAACGGAUCUUGUUAUUAUUAUCUGAAUUAUAUGAUAAAUAUUUGACUUGUUUUUAAUUAUAUGUUCUUAAUUCUUGUCUUAAUAUUCCAGGAUAUUGAUUCAAGUUAAUGCGCUUAUUCAGAGGAGCAAAAGUCCCUGUCUAAGAGUAAAUUUGUCAUAAUUAAACAGAGUUGAUUGCACACCUAAAGAUAGGGUAACAAGAUUUUGCCGAAUUAGGGUGAAACCUAAUAAGGAGAUCCAUAGAUCGAGUUAAUGCAACACUAGGGCGUUAAAUAGAAAGAGAUUUCAAUUAAUCAACCUAGGGUUAGAUGUUAUUAGUCUUGAGAGAGAUAAUAAUAUAACUUAGGGAUUUGUACGGAUCAUGUCAAAUGGAUAAAUCGACUGAUUCAGAGUCAAAUAACAAGUGAAGUCUAGGUGGAUUUUUCCUUGGGUAUUGUCCUAAUCAAGCGAAUUUUCUAAAAGUAUUUUCCCCAAUUUUUCAAGCGAAUUUUCUAAAAGUAUUUUCCCCAAUUUUCUUUCUCUGCACCCUUAGUUUAGUUAAUUAGUUUUAAUAAACAAAUCCUUUAAUUUUUAGGUUAGAUAAUAAAAAGAAAGUGAUUACUAGUACUCUUGGUUCCUUUGGGUUCGACAAUUCGGUCUUGCUAAAGCUAUAUUACUGUUCGAUAGGUACACUUGUCUUUAUCGUGAUAAUAGUUGGUUUCAAUAACGAUCAUUUCUAAAUUAUUUAAAACUUAUCGCAAGUAUCAUGAAUCAAGUUUUUGGCGCCGUUUCCGGGGAACUAAGAUAUUAGGAACACUUGAUUUUUAUUACUUUAGCCAUUUUUCUUUAUUUUUACUUUAAAUUUUUAUUUUCUUUUCUAAUUUUUCUUUUAUUUGUUCCUGACAGGUUUUUAUAGUUUAUGAUUAGAAGAAACCCGUCGGGACCAUUACUGUUUGAUAGUGAGAUCGAUCGCACAGUUCACAGAAACCAAAGAAAAAUAAGACGAAGCUUAAGAUACAAAAAGGAAGAGUAAGACGACGAUACUUCAACCACAAUCGAGAAGAUGGCUGAAAACCAGGAAAAUUUGCUACCUCCUGUGAUUUCUGCUGAUCCAGUAAAUCAGAAUCCUACUCCACGCACUAAGUAUGAUUAUGCUAAACCUACUUUAACAGGAACUGAGUCAAGUAUAGUUAGGCCUGCUAUUGCUGCGAAUAAUUUUGAACUGAAACCUAACACAAUUGAAAUGAUACAGCAAUUUGUUCAGUUUGAUGGUUUGCAGGAUGAGGAUCCAAACAACCACUUGGAAAAUUUUCUAGAGUUUUGCGAUACAUUUAAAAUCAAUGGCGUUUCUACUGAUGCCAUUCGCCUUCAGUUAUUCCCUUUUUCAUUGAGGAACAAAGCUAAACAGUGGUUGAACUCGUUACCACAAGGGUCAAUCACUGCUUGGGAACAAAUGACCGAAAAAUUUUUAUUAAAAUAUUUUUCGUCGACUAAAACAGCCAAAUUACGUAAUGAUAUCUCUUCAUUUAUGCAAAUGAAUAUAGAAACACUCUAUGAUGCAUGGGAGAGAUACAAGGACCUUUUAAGAAGAUGUCCUCACCAUGGGUUACCACUCUGGCUACAGGUUCAAACGUUUCACAAUGGCCUGAAUCCUUCGACUAGACAGAUGAUUGACGCAGCUGUUGGAGGAACUAUCAAUAAUAAGACACCUGAGGAUGCUUAUGAAUUUAUAGAAGAGAUGUCACUAAAUAAUUAUCAAUAGCAAGUCAUGAGGACAAAACCGAUGAAAGCAACCGGGGUUUUUAAUGUUGAUUCGGUCACCAUACUUUCUAAUCAGGUAGAACUUUUGAAUAGAAAAAUUAACAGUUUUUUUGGUUCUUCACAGGUUCACCCAGUAAUGCAAUGCAAUGCAAGUGGGGGAGAAUUGAGCAAUUCAGAAUGCCCACCCUAUGGCCACAACAUGAAAAACAAGCAAUUAAAUUAUAUGGAUAAUAAUCCUCGACCUCAAAAUAAUCCUUAUAGUAACACUUACAAUACAGGAUGGAGGAACCACCCAAAUUUCUCAUGGGGAGGCCAAGGGAAUCAGAGACCACCACCAUUUCCAGGUUUCUAACAGCAACCUUACCAGCAAAAUAAAAAUUUGAACCUUGAGGAAAUGCUAACAAAAUUCAUCUUGGUGUCAGAAACUCGUUUCCAGAAUACCGAGACAGCACUUAAAAAUCAACAAGCGUCGAUCCAAGGGCUCGAAACUCAGAUAGGCCAGCUCGCUAAAUUGAUAUCUGAAUGAACACAAGGUAGCCUACUGAGUAACACUGAAUCUAACCCAAGGGAGCAACUCAAUGCGAUUGCCAUUCAAGAUGAGGAAGGGUUAGUUACAUCUAAACCAGAACCGAGGCAAGAAACUGUGGUAAGUAAAGGUAAAGGUAAGGUAAACCACAUCGAGCAGAAACCGGUAAGUAAAGAGUACAAACCACGAGUGUCAUACCCAAAUGCGACAAAGAAAGACCAUACAGAUGAACAAUUUUGUAAACUCCUUAAACUAUUAAAGAAAUUACACAUUAACUUACCGUUUAUUGAAGCCCUUUCGUAGAUGCCGAACGCAGUCAAGUUUUUAAAGGAGCUUUUAGGAAACAAGUGAAAGUUGGAUGAAGCGUCGCAUGUGGAGUUGAACGUAGCUUGCUCAGCUAUUCUACAAAAUAAGCUACCCAACAAAUUAAAAGAUCCAGAGAGUUUUACAAUUCCUUGCUUAAUUGGUAGCUUAGAUGUUAAUAAUACUUUGGCUGAUUUAGGGGCUAGCAUCAAUGUCAUGCCUUACAAAAUGUUUAAGUAACUAGGUCUUGAGAAACCCAAACAAACUAAGAUGAGUAUUCAAUUAACCGAUGAAACAAUUAGAUUUCCUAGGGUUAUUAUUGAAGAUGUACUCAUUAAAAUUGACAAAUUUAUAUUCCCAGUUGAUUUCGUUGUUCUAGACAUAGAGGAGGAUAGUAACGUUCCUUUAAUUUUAGGGAGCCCUUUUUAGCAACUGUUAGAACAAUAAUUGAUGUUGGCACAGGUGAACUCACACUUCGUGUGGGAGACGAAACAAUCACCCUUUAAGCUCGUAAUUCAAGUAACACAUCAAAAAUUGAAGGUGGUUGUAUAAAUCAUACUAUUAAAACUGAUCAUUUGGUGAAACCUUCCUGGCAGGAAACACGUUCAAAGAACACACCUGAGCCAUGUUCGAGUAACGACAAAAGACCUAUCUAUGAAGAAUGAAGGCUACAACUUGAGGAACUAGAUGAAUAGCUGACACAUAAACCGAGGACACACGAUAAACCAAAACCAUGCCAUGACGAGCUCAAUAUUUCACCAAAUCAACUUAAGGUUGGAGACAAAGUACUACUAGAUGCGGUAGACCCUCGUAUUGCUACGUCUGAACCUAACGGAGCAAUCCCUCUUACAGUACUCAACAUUUUCCCAUAUGGUACAGUCGAGGUUAUUCAUCCCAAACUCGGCACUUUUAAGGUAAACAGUACUCGUCUUAAACCUUAUUUUGAUAAAAUUGAUAGCAGGGAUGAGGAGUGUGAACUCCUCACAUCACAAUGACCAUGCAACAGAAAGGUAAGUCGAGCUUAGACUAUAAAUAAGCGUUUUUCGGGAGGCAACCCGAGCAUUAAUGAUGUUAACUUUUUUAAAAUUUUAGUUUUUUACAUCUAAUCACUAACUGAGUCAGUGAAACACAGGUUUUCUAAUCUACACGGCCAAGCACACGGACAUGCCUUAGGCCGUGCUCACACCAUGGGAGGAGACACAGCCGUGCGAUACUGCCGUGUGAAAACAGGGUAAAAUUUUUCCUUAACACGGGAUGUGAUAAGUUGCCACGGCCGUGCGAUGUAGCCGUGGGCGAGUCUUUCAAACCAACACAGGCGUGUGACACACCCGUGUCUAUAAACCAUGGUUGAAACUGAGAAUUUAGCACGAGCAUGUCCUAUCAACCGUGCUCAAGACUGAAAAAAGAACACGGGCGUGGACAUCUAUACACGGGCAUUGGAGAAGAGAAUGAAACAGAACAUGGUCGUGUGACACAGACGUGUGCACCAACACGCCCAAAGAGCACGGGCGUGUGAAGAAUUUCAGACACGCCCAAAUUUGAAAAUUACGAUAAACACGAGCUGAAAUAAGGGCACAUGGGGGUGCCCCACGACCGUGUGCCCCAAAAUCUAUAUAAACCCCUUACUAUUCAUCACCCCCUUCCCCAAAAUCUCUAACCCUAGCCGCUGCAACUUCACAUGCCCUACCUGCCACGCCCGUGCACCGUCCACAGCACCACCUUUGACAACCCAAAGCUCCUCCCUCUUACGUUUGUACAUUUUUUUCCUUCUAUUCUCUUCAUUCUUUUACUUAUUUGAUGAUAUUUUAUUUUAUUUUGAGUAAAUAAUCAUAGUUAUAAUGAUAGAAUACUUAUGCUCUUUGUUAAGAAAUUUACCAUUUUAAUUGAUAUAUUUUGCUGCAUUUAUCCACUUUUCUUGUUUCCAUAGAUUUCAUGCUUACCCACACCAUAUUUCAUACUUAUUAAACCCACAUGCAUUCAUUCAAUAGAUAUUUCCAUUAGCAUUACUCUCGUAGUCCUAUUCAUAGUAAUGACUUAAUAUAUCUGAUUGGGUUAUUUUUAGUAUAGUUGUUCUUUAGUACAUGACUUCUAUGAAGUAUCUCUAUUAGUUUUACCAUGCAUAUUUUCUAUGCUAUUGCUGGGGAGUAAUUUUAUUUUUUAUUUUUUCUUGCCAUUGUAGGUAUACUAUCUCAACCUUACGUGGUAAGGAGACCGCCAUCCCCUCUUCGAAGAAAAGGAAAGGAGCAACGUCAUCCUCAGGUCCUACCGCUGAGAUCCGUUACCCUUUCCUCCAGUUUCCCUUUGGACCCCAGGAGGAACUAUUUCAGAUAUUACGGGUCCGACCCUUAGGUGUAGGCCACUGCAUUGACUGGGCUGCACUUAAAAAAAUUCAAAUGGCUGACGUGGUCCAAGCCCUCCUGACGACUACCCGUGGAGGCUUUUCUUUGAGAUCAUCGAGCCGAUGUACCACGAGCUCACAAUGGAACUCUACUCGACCUUCCAUCUUCAAGUCGCCAUGAUAAACUGCGACGAUCCUAGAACGGUCCAAUUCCACCUCAGUGGUCUAGUGCGCCAGUUGAGCGUACCGAAGUUCAGAAUUGCACUAGGGCUGUAUAUGGAAGAGUUCAUGGAUGACAACGAACUUGACACCCUCUAUUGCCACAUCCACUACUCUCUCUCCAAAUGCUGGAAGGACUUUGUCCCUGCCUCGGCCACCUAUGAUCCUAACUACUCUAAGGCAUCAGCCCUCACCCCAUCCCUGUGAUACCUACACGCCAUCUUAGCCCACACUCUGACAGGGCGGCGAGAGAGCACCGGCAUCAUCAACACUCACGACGCCUACUUUUUAUAGAGCAUGGCAAACGGGCACGUCUUCGACCUUGCCUAUUUCAUUGCUCUCGCCAUCCGCCAUCAGACGGAGCGGCAUAGGAGAGGAGUUAUCACCAUUAGCCACUAUGUGACUCGACUGGCACGGCACUUCGGGCUCCUCAACACAGCAGCAUAAUCAUCCUCACUCACUCUCAUUGGUCAUAUGUCCCCUCAAGGCAUCUCGAGUAUGCUACAUAUGAGGAUGCUCGAGAAACGACGUGGAACUUACCCUCCUCAGUACCGCCUCGUCCAGUCCACUAAAGAGGAGAACCCAUAAGACAUUACUGAUGAUGUCCCUCCACGUCAUGAGGACCCACCGUCUCAACCAUCACCCAUCCAUCGUCCAGUUCAUGCGGUGGCUUCAUACUCUGAUAUCUCUAAGCACCUUACUCGAUUUAAGCAGCAGUGUUUUCAGUGCUUUGAUCACAUUGAUGCUACUCUUCAUCAGAUUUGUCAGCACCUUCACAUCUCAUCGCCACCACCACCUCGCGAACCAUCCGGCGAUGCUGAUGUUUAAAGACUUUUUAUUUUUUAUUUUUAUUUCCACUUUUAUCUUUAUUUAUCUUCUUUAAGUAGUUUUUAUUUUAUUUUCCUUUAAUAUUAUUUCAAUUUUAGGUUUUAUAAUUUUUAUUGAAUAAUUUAUAGUUUUGGCUAUUUUAUUACGAGUAAUUAUGCUUCCUUAUAUUUCCUAAAGAGUUCUUGAUUUUAUCACAGUUAUAAAGAGCUCUAAAGCUCAUCAUCACUUAGGAACUAAAAAAUCACUGGAAAAGGUUCUCCACAACUGUCAAGUCCUGCUCGACCACGACCACAGCUACUACCAGAUAUAAUAUUCUGUUGGCGCAGGACUUAUGGACUAAUGAACCUCUACCACCACCGGAGUAUCCUCCUCCACUCUCAUCAUUGCCUUGGCUGAUUAUUCUCCAUAACUCCAAUUGAAGGAGUUCAUUCAUCAUUCAGGAAGUUUAACUUCUCUUCUUAUCUUAUGAGUAUUUAUCUAUAUUUUUCAGUAUAUCUAUCUUUGUACAUUGAGGGCAAUAUACAUCUUAAGUGUAGAGGGUCUUUUAUAUCAUUAUCAGAAAAAUCCCUGAAUUUUAUCUUGUUCUCAAAUCAUCUUCUCAUAUCAUUAUUAGAAUAAAAUUUGAUUAAUUUAUGAUUGUUAUUGAUAUGUCUUCAAUUAAAACAUAGGCAUUCAUGUAUUGAUUGUUUAAACUUUAAGGAAUUAGAUAAUCAAGCAGGAUAAGUUGAUUUUUGAGAAUUAAAAAUUUUUAGGUUGUUUCCCCAAGUUUAGGUAUUAUCUCGAGUUAAAAUUCACAGGGUUAACAUCAACAAGCCAUAAUUUCUGUAAGAUCUUGAGCCUUUAGAGCAACUAUUAUUUCUUUCAUGCUCACUGUUAUUAUUGAUAAUGAGUGUGUCAAUAUUGAUUUAUUAUUCUAGAACUUGCUUGAUUAUGCAUGUCAAGACCACACCCUUGAGUUAAUAUGUCAAUAUGAUAAAGGCACCUAGGUUUAACCCACUCACUCCAUAAAAGCAUACCUUCAUAAUUUACCCUUAGUGAACCCCUUUGAGCCUAACAAGCCAUUAAUUGAUUUACCCUCAAUGUUAACCCAUAACACAUUAUUGUUGAAAUCCCCUAAUUUGAUCCCUAUUUUUGUCGAGAUUUGAUUUGAAUUAUUGCAUAGCUAUGUUUUAUUCUUCGUUGCAAUAAUUAGCAAAGUCCUAUGUUAUUUCACUUGUUUAUUUCACUUGUUCCUAAAAAAAAAUACAAUACUUACUUACAUAUUAAUAGUAAUUCGUCAUUUUUGAGCUUAAGUGUUAAUUCCAUAUUCUAAGAAGAAGCUCACUCGUAUUCAACUUAUAAUUAGUUGUUUUUCUAGUUAGGUGAUUUUUUUAAUUCAAUCUCGAUUCUAACCUUUCCUUUUAGCUUGUGACCACACCCCCUAACCAAAGCCACGUUACAACCCUCUAAAGACCUUUUGAUUGAUGUAUCAUCUCAAUAUAUAGUGGUGGAGAUUUGAUUUUCUGCAAGCCUAUGGUAAUAACUUUUCAUAUUGACUAAUGAGUGCUUCAUUUAUUAUCCUUAAACACCUCGAGUGAUUUGAGUGAAUCUUUAGUGAGGAUGUUAAACUCCGUGAUAUUUUGAAUCAAAGGUAAUCACUUAGAUGAGGGGAGACACCUAUGUUUUCGUGAUGAAAUGCUCAACUUGGAAUGUUUGAAACUUUGAUAUUCUUCUAGUUGAAUUCUCCAUGUAUGAUUACUUAUGAUUUAUUUUAAGAUAUUAUUGAUAGAGAUUAUAGAUUGAGAAGAAUUUAUUUUGAUUGUGAGUUGAGGAUUUUGCUUGAGGACAAGCAAACGCUUAAGUGUGAGAGUUUUUGAUAAACCGCAAUUUAUACAUAUUUUUAUCCCAUGCUUAGCACAUUUAUAUAUGAUUUCUCCUUAGAUUUGGUGAAUUUGAUGCACCAAAUCCUUUAAUUUCAUGUUUUAUACUUAGGUGACCAUAGCAGAGUAAAAAGAGCGAGAAACAGGUCGACAACGGAGAAAAAUAGACCCACAUGGGAAAUCGACACGGCCUGGACUUCCUCACACGGGUAAGCCACACGGCCAUGUCCAUUUGGCAGGAUCGGCGUACAAUUUACACAGGUAGACUACAUGCCCACGAUUAUUUAGCAACCUUCACCACGGUUUGGAGCAAUCGCACACGGGCGUGUCACACAGGCGUGUCCCUGUCGAGCCCAAGUAAAGUCCUAUUCGAAAAAGGCCACUUUUGAUGGCUCUUAGGCAUUCUAAAGCCUAUUUAAACACCUGAGGAGGCAGUUAGAACGGGGGGACACAGAGUAGGAAGCAAUGAAUUACUCGAAAAAAGCCGAUUGAUCCAUCUCAGAAGCUGGAUUAUUCAUCAAGACUGAAGAUCUCUCUUCAAUUUCCAUUCAAGAGUUUUGGGUUUUCUUUAUGUUUUGUAUUCAUUAUUCUUCUAAGGGGAAUGAAACUUAAGACGAAUCUUGUUAUUAUUAUCUAAAUUAUAAGAUAAAUAUUUGACUUGUUCUUAAUUAUGUAUUCUUAAUUCUUGUCUUAAUAUUUCAGGAUAUUGAUUCAGGUUAAUGCGCUUAUUCAGAGGAGCAAAAGUCCCUGUCUAAGAGUAAAUUUGUCAUAAUUAAGUGGAGUUGAUUGCACGCCUAGAGAUAGGGUGACAAGAUUUUACCAGAUUAUGGUGAAACCUAAUAAGGGAUCCAUAGAUCGAGUAAAUGCAACACUAGGGCGUUAAUUACAAAGAGAUUUCAAUUAAUCAACCUAGGGUUAGAUGUUAUUAGUCUCGAGAGAGAUAAUAAUAUAACUUAGGGAUUUCUACGAAUCAAGUUAAAUGAACAAAUCGCCUGAUUCAGAGUCAAAUAACAAGUGAAUCUAGGUGGAUUUUUCCUUGGGUAUUGUCUUUAUUAAUCGAAUUUUCUAAAAAGUAUUUUCCCAAUUUUUAGGCUAGAUAAUAAAAAGAAAGUAAUUACUAGUACUCUUGGUUCCUUUGGGUUCGACAAUUCGGUCUUGUUAAAGCUAUACUACUGUUCGAUAGGUACACUUGCCUUCAUCGUGAUAAUAGUUGGUUUUAAGAACGAUCAUUUAUAAAUUAUUUAAAACUUAUCGCAAAUAUCAUAAAUCAGUAGUCGUUUUACAUGGAUUUAUCUCAUUAAAUGAAUGUCUCAGAUGGUUGACUAUUUUUUUCAGUUUCAAAAAAUGGUCAAAACUCAGUUUGGGAAAGAUAUUAAAAAUUUUCAAAGUGAUUGGGGUGGUGAGUUUCGUGCCUUCGCAUCAACUCUUGCUAUUCAUGGGAUACUUCAUCACCUCUCCCGUCCACAUACAUCCGAGCAGAACGGUAUAGCCAAACCAAAACAUCAAGACAUUGUUGAGAUAGGUCUUACUCUCUUGACCCAAGCUAAUAUGCCCAUGGAUUUCUGGGGUUACGUGUUUUGCAGUGUCGUUUAUCUCAUUAAUCGUCCACCUACCUUGGUUUUGAAAGGUCAAUCUCCGUAUUAAGUUCUUCAUGGUAGUGACCCUACAUAUGAUCAUUUACGGGUGUUUGGGUGUUAUUUCUUUCCAUACUUGCGUCUGUUUCUGCAACAGAACUUGGAUUUUUGUUCUCAGCCUUGCACAUUUUUAGGGUAUAGUUCUCAACAUAAAGGCUAUCACUGCCUCACACCAGAUGGUAAGGCCAUUGUCUCUUAUCAUGUUGUGUUUGAUGAACGUCGAUUUCUCUUUUUUUUUAUGUUGCAAACACCGUCCAGUCAGGUCCAUGUAUCUCUACAUAUGUUCCUAUUGCUCAGUCUUCAUCUGCCGCGCCACGGCAUCCUCGCUUGUUCAGCCCAUUAAGUCCUCUUGACUCUUACUCCUAAUUGUAGUUCCAAGACGUCUAUUUCAGUUGACUCUCCGACUGAAUUGGGUUCUACUCAUGAGGUGCACCGGCUCUUCACCUCAUCUCCUGAAUCACGUCAAUGCGACUCUACUACAAUUCCCUCGGUUAUUCCAUCUAUUUUUCUAGAGAAUACUCAUAACAUGAUUACUCGGUCUAAGGCUAGUAUUUCUAAACCCAAAGCUUUCUCUGUUGAAACUGUCGACUAUGAGCCACACACGAUUGAUGAGGCACUCGCUAGUAAGGAAUGGCAAUUAGUUGUCCAAGCUGAGUUUGUUGCUCUAAUGGCUAACUCUACCUGGGAGCUUGUUCCCUUACUUCAUUGUCGAAAAGUGAUUGGGUGUAAGUGGCUUUUUAAAAUAAAAAAAAUCCUGAUGGGGCUAUCACUUGGCACAAGGCUCAGCUGGUAGCAAUGGGUUGUUCUUAGGUACCUGGGUGUGAUUUCAAAGAAACCUUUAGUCUAAUGGUUACACCUACUACUAUUAGAAAAAUAUUGUCUAUUUCUGUUUCCAAUGGGUGAAAACUUCGUCAAAUCGAUGUGAAUAAUACCUUUUAAGAUGGUGAUCUCACUGACGAAGUGUUUAUGCAACAACCUUCAGGCUAUGUUCAGAUUGGUCCAUAUCGUGAGCUAUUGGUGUGUCGUCUGAAAAAGGAGUUGUAUGGAUUACGACAAGCUCCACGUGCCUGGUUUGAUAAAUUGAAACAUUUUUUCUACCAGAUUUGUGUUAUCCAAAUCUGAUGCAUCCCUGUUUGUUCGAGUUACGUACGUAUCCACUAUUUAUGUUCUAAUCUAUGUGGAUGAUAUUACCGUUACUGAAAGUACGACUGACGGUAUAAAUGACUUUAUUCAACAGUUACAUAAUAAGUUUUCCCUUAAAGAUAUGGGAGAUCUUCACUACUUCUUAGGUAUUCAAGUCACUCGGUCAUCCACUAGAAGUCUUCAUUUGUGCCAACGCAAAUACAUCUAGGAUCUGCUUGACAGGAGUUCCUGGGCUAACGUGAAAAGUGUUCACACACUGAUGGUUAGUUCUUUUACAUUGUCUAAAGAUGAGAAAAAUCACCUCGUUGAUCCCACUAAAUAUAGGAGCCUUGCCGGAGCAUUACAAUAUGUGGUCUUAACUCGGCCUAAUAUUGCUUAUGCGGUAAAUCGUGUUUGUCAAUUCAUGCAUAUGCCUACUACGGUACAUUUGGUGGCUUUGAAAAUAAUCUUGCGCUAUUUACGUGGCACUAUUGAUCAUGGGUUAAUUUUUCGUCCGUUCGACAGAUUGUCUUUAGUUGGCUAUGCUGAUUCCAACUGGGGACUGGAUUUUGAUGAUCGUCAGUCAACCAUAGACUAUUGUGUGUAUUUUGGACAUACAUCCAUCUUUUUGUGUUCUAUGAACCAACAAGUUAUUUUUCACUCCACGGCUGAUGCGAAGUAUCGUAGUCUAGCAGUAGCUACCAGUGAUGUUACUUGGUUAGCCUCUCUGUUAACGAAUUUAAAAAUUUGUUCUGCAAAUCCACUUACUAUUUGGUGUGACAAAUCUAGUGCAAUAGUGGUUGCUGCUAAUCCGGUUUUACACUCCAAAUUUAAACAUGGCGAGCUUGAUCUAUUUUUUGUUCGCGAAAAUGUCACUAAUGGUUCUCUCAUUGUUGGCGAAGUUCCGGCAUGUGAUCAGGUUGCUAGUAUUCUCACAAAACCAUUGUCCAUCUCUACUUUUGCUAGGUUUCAUAGUCUGCCUCAAGUCUUACCUCUUGAGAAGCUGGAUGAAGCCGGGUGAAUAUUAGAGUAUAGACUCUAUUAGUCUGUUACCAUUUUGUUAUACAGGCUAGAAUAUUGUUAGUAACCAGUUAGCAGCAAUUAGUCAUAGCAGUUAGUCAUACAAGUAUAAAUUCUAUUUAUGUAUAGUUCAAAGGUAAGCUAAUAAUACCAGAAGAGAUUUAACGUGUUCAUUCUACUUUCUUUGUUAUUCUUCAUAAUACAGUUGUUAACAGGCUUGAUAUCAUCUCUUAGAGAAAACUAGGAGAGAUAAGAGUAAGAGUAUGAGCAAACUAUGGAUAAGGCUCUACCAUAAUACCUUAGAUGCAGUUAAAGUAAGAGUAAGAGCCAACUUGUUUGGCUUGAUAGCAUCCCCUUAUAGAAAAAGCUCUACCGCAUGGCAUUAGAGCAAUAAAAGUAACACUUAAUUUCUUGGUUGAUAGCAUCUCGUAGGGGAAAAAGGUUUACCAUGUGACAUGAAAGUAAUUAAAGUAAGAUUAAGAGCUAACUUGUUUGUCUUAAUCGCAUUGUUUAAGAGAGAUCCAAAUAAAUUUACUCAAAAUAUGUUAAUCAAAUAAUGCAAAUUACAAUGUUUUGUCAAUUUUUCCUUUAAUUGUAACUGGGUUAAAGUUGGUAGUUGUAACUGGUACUAAUAGAAUAGAUUUGGUAGAAAUGGUUGAAAGCAACAUAAGCAAAGAUGACUUUGAUGUCAUUGUAUUGACCACGUGGGAACUAUAGAAUGUAGAGAAUAGUAUGGUGAUUGGCAUCAGAAUGUUGCUAACUUUGAGGACAGUAGAUAAGGAUGGAUCCAAAGGGGCUGUGGGCGGCCCCCUUGAAAUUUUCAAAUUUUUGAAUUUAUAUAUAAAUUAUCAUGUAUUUUAGAUUUGGUGUCCACAUUGUAUAACAUUCACCCCCUUUGCCAAAUUGUAUUUCAUAUCAUUCGCCCCCUUAAACCAUAAGGUUAUACUUUAUAUUAACAAAGUAUUUUCCAUUUUUUUUAAUUAUAUAAAUUUAAUAAUAACAAUAAUAAUAAAAUAUUAAUGUAUGAUAGGCAUUGAAAGACUAAACUUAUAGGUCCAAUUUGGACUUUAAAGCCAAAUUCUAUAAUUAAUUAAUUGAUUUGGCUCAUACCUAUACAUAUUAGGUUAGCGACUUUCUUGUAUUUUGAUUUGUAUGUCUUCUUAAGGAAUUAUCUUCCUUUGGUAAAGUGUUGACACUACCAAGAGAAAAAGAAAGGAUUUUGAUGACGAGACUAAGAGUAUAGAGCAAAAAUAUACAAAUUAUCUUCCUCUUGGCUCCUUAUGCAAAAAACCUCUCGGUAAAUUUUUUGCAUAAAUUAUGUUCUUUAUUUAUUUGACUUAUUUUUUUUAUUUUUUCCUAAUAUAUUUUGUUUAAUAUAUUAUUAAAAUCAUCAGGUUUUUCGAUUAAAUAAUGGUCAAUAAAAAGAUCGAAUCUAUUUUUUUAAAAAAAAGGUGUCAGAAAGCAAUAGUGAUCAACCAGUUCCUUAACCUUCUGUUAUUCGUGAAGAAAAACCAAAUAUUGGAUAUUCCCAAGCUCCUGAAUGAAAUAUUAGGUCUUAUCAAGCCCAAACUUUUGAAUGCGAUAUGGAGUCUUCCCCAGUUCUUAAACUAGAUUGUUACACUCCUUACCUGAUCCGAUCACCAAAUCCAUGUAGAGAGUACCACAACUUAAACCAUAUGAAUUGAAUAAUAAAUAUUUGAAAUUUAUUAAAGUAUCGAGUUCUUGGUGUAACCCUCAGUAUAAUAAUAUGAAACAAUCAAAUCAAUGAUACGCCAGGAACAAACAUUUUUAGGAAAAACACAUGGCGGAAACCUUACAAAAGUUUAUAAGUUUAUAUGAAAUGUAAGAUGAGUUAAUCCCAUACAAUAGUUUCAAGUGCAUUUUUGGCAGUUAAAACAACACUCUAAAACUAUUUGGUGUAGAUGCCAAUGAGACAAUCAUGUGGAAUAAGAUAUAGUAGCAUAAACACAUACAUCACUUACCAUGUCAUUAUAACAUAUACUAACCACAUAAACAAAUUUCUCGAGCUGCGAACGAACAAGUUUACCCAAACAUCUGGGGUUGGUAGAUAGCUUAUCAGAAAAGCCCUCCAAAUCCUAGAGUUCACCAAAACCUGGAGUUCGCCAAAUAGAGAUUCCCAUAGAAUACGCCAAACACACAACCAAAAAACAAAUACUCUACUAACUUACUUAUUUUUUAUUCUUAGCAUAAACAACUAUGCGCCAAAAAGUAACUUGAUACAUUAUCCAUCAGGCGGGUUGUUACAAUUCUCCCUCACUUAGAAAAUUUUGUCCUCAAAAUUCUUAACGGUGAAUAACUGAGGAUAUUGUUCUUUUAUUGAACUCUCUCUUUCCCAAGUGGAUUCUUUUUUAUUGUGAUUUCUCCAUAAUACAUUAACAAAAGGAAUUCUUUUUCUUCUCAACUUUUUUACCUCCCUUGCUAAUGCGAACAGGUUCUUCUUCAUAGGAUAUGUUUGGCUCCUUUUCUAAUGCUUUGACUUGUACCACAUGAUCUGGUUUGGAUUGAUAUUUUCUUAACACGAACACAUUAAUCACAUUGUGUAUCUUUGAUAACUCUAGUGGCAACACCAAUCUGUAUGCCACUGGACCAACCAGUUCCAAAAUCUCAUAUGGUCCUACGAAAUGCAGACUUAAUUUCCCUUUUUAUUCUAACCUUAUGAUAUUCUUCCAAAGAGAAAACUUCAUAAAUACAUUGUCACCCACUUCGAAAGAGAUUUCUUUCCUUUUUAGAUCAACAUAAGCUUUCUGACGAUCUUAAGUUACUUUCAGAUGAUUUCAAAUAAUAGAGACUUUCUCUUCUGUUUCUUGUACUAAAUCAAAACCAACUAUUUUCCUUUCACUGAGUUCCAUCCAACAGGUGGGAGAUCUACGCUUUCUUCCAUACAAAGCUUCAAAUGGUGAUAUUUCUAGAUUGGCGUGAUGACUAUAAUUAUACACAAACUUUGGCAAAGAAAGAUAUCUUUCUCAAUUCAUUCUGAAAUCUAUAAUACAACUUCUGAGCAUGUCUUCCAAAACUUGAAUUACUCUUUCAAAUUGUUCACCUGAUUAGGGAUGAAAGGCAGUACUGAAUCAUAUCUUGGUUCCUAACGAUUCUUGUUGUUGUCUUCAAAAUCUUGAUGUAAACAUUAGGUCUCGAUCUAAAACUACGGAUGUUGGAAUCCCAUGAAGACAUACAACUUCAGAAACGCAGAGCUUAGCCAACUUUUCCAAUGAGUAAUUUGUGCGGGCAAACAAGAAAUAGACUGACUUAGUAAGUCGAUCUACAAUUGCGCAAACUGAAUUCUUCUUUGAAAGGCUGAAAGGGAGAGCCAAAACAAAAUCCAUGGUGAUGUUAUCCCACUUCCACUUAGGUAUCUCUAAAGGGUACAACUUGCCUAAGGGAACCUGAUGUUCUGUUUUAAUCCGCUGACAUGUCAAAGAAAUGGAGAUGUACUCUGUUAUUUCUUUCUUCAUUCCAGGUCACCAAUACAAACUUCUCAAAUUACGAUACAUUUUAUGUAAUGCUCUCAACCCGACUCGAUAUGUCGAGUUUGGAUCUCGGGUAUUACUAUACACAGUACUUAGUAAAAUAUCAAAAUAGCUGACAAAUACUCUUUACUAAAAACAUUUUCUUAUUAUUUUAACCGAAAGAGUAAAUAUUUAAUAACAAGGGUAAAUAUUAGAAAUAAAAUAAAUUAUUACAUCAGACUUGGUACAACUGAUUAUAGUAUAAAAUUUUGUUAAAGACAGACUCUUGGGGAAUAACCCUAAUCUAUGCCACUUUUCCACUAUAUACAUAAUAACCCACUUCAGCACUAUCUUGGCAUACUCCUAGCAUCGUCACUCCUAACGCAUUCUCUACCCAUACACCUAAAAACAACAACAUUAUAAGCUCAAGAGAACUUAGUGAAUUUUAUCCCAAAAAUACCUUGGCGAGUACUUUAAUUAUUUGACUAACAUCUGUGCGCCAUCUAUCUUUUUAAACCACCUUCUUCUGAAUCAGACGGAUACUAUUACAGAUUCGACUUUCACUUAUACGCCAGCUAUCAUACUCUUAACACACUCACUUAUUCUAGAACAGUUUUUCACAUAUAUUAAUCAUUGACAGAUACAUACAUUUUUGGUGAAUACUUACGCAGAUCUAAAUACCAUCAAACUACUAAUCAAAUCAUACAUUGAUUCGAUACCAUACAAACUCCCAUUGAUAAUGUACUACACAAUUUAUUCAAAUGAAUUUUCCACUACUUUGUUACAGGACCCCAGAAAAUCAUCAUAACAAUAACUCAAUUUCCAUAUGAUUUCAAAAAAGGAUAUAAUACAACCCAAAUAUGGCGAAUUCCAGACAACUCAGAUUCAACAACUGUAUAACAUAGACAAAAUCACAUUGAUAAUUUCUUAUGUCCCAAAUAACUAUGAAUACGUCCAUAUUCAAUACUAACAGAUAAUCAUGACGGAUACCCUUCUUAUACAUAUAUGCAUUUCUUUUCUAAAAAUCUCUUAAGACUUACUCAGUUAUAUCACAGAUCUUAUUCAACCUUUAACUUCAGACGUAUCAUAAACCUAUCAGAUCAAUAUCUGUCACAAAGAAAUUGGCAUUUACCCAGAUUUUACAAUAAAGGCAGAUAAUCAUAUUAUAGUAGACAAACUUAACUGAAAGUGCUACAAAGGCCAAACAAAAUAUGCCAUAAAGGCUUCAUACAAAAUCAUGUGUUUACUAUCUCGACGGAUGAUACAUGAUAUUCGUGACAGGUUUUAAAAAUUUAUAAUUAAUCGUUCUUUAAAUUAACUAUUAUCACGAUGAAGGCAAGUGUACCUCUCGAACAGUAAUAUAGCUUUAGCAAGACCGGAUGGUCGAACCCAAAGGAACCAAGAGUACUAGUAAUUGCUUUCUUUUUAUUAUCUAGCCUAAAAAUUAAGGGAUUUAUUUAUCUAAUUAAUUAACUAAACUAAGGGUGCACAGAAAGAAAAUUGGGGAAAAGCUUUUGGGAAAACUCGAUUGAUUAAGACAAUACCCAAGAAAAAAUCCACCUAGACUUCACUUAUUAUUUGACUCUAAAUCAGACGAUUUAUUCAUUUGACUUGAUCCGUAGAAAUCCCUAAGUUAUAUUAUUAUCUCUCUUGAGACUAAUAACGUCUAACCCUAGGCUGAUAAUUGAAAUCUCUUUCUAAUUAACACUCUAGUGUUGCAUUAACUCGAUCUAUGGACUCCCUUAUUAGGUUUCACCCUAAUCCAGUAAAAUCUUGUCACCCUAUCUCUAGGCGUGCAAUCAACUCCGCUUAAUUAUGAAAAAUUUACUCUUAGAUAAGGACUUUUGCUCCUCUAAAUAAGCACAUUAACUUGAAUCAAUAUCUUGGAAUACUAAAACAAGAAUUAAGAACACAUAAUUAAGAACAAGUCAAAUAUUUAUCAUACAAUUCAGAAAAUAAUAACAAGAUCCGUCUUAGGUUUCAUUCCCCUUAGGUAUUUUGAGGUUUUAGUUCAUAAUUAUGAAAGAAAACAUCUCAAAAGAAUAAUGAUAACAAAACAUAAAGAAAACCCAAAACUCCUGAAGGAAAUUGAAGGGAGAUCCUCAGUCUUGACGAUGAAUCCGGCUUUUGAAAUGGAUCAAUCGGCUUUCCUUGAGUAAUUCAUUGCCUCCUACUCCCUAUGUAUCUUCUAAGUGCCUCCUCAGGUGUUUAAAUAGGCUUUAUAAUGUCUAAAAGCCCUCAAGAGUGGCCUUUUCUGAAUAGGACUGAACUUGGGCUCGAUAGGGACACGCCCGUGUGACACGCUCGUGUGCAAUUGCUUCAGACCGUAGUCAAGGCUACUAAAUAGGCAUGGGCGUGUGGUCUACCCGUGUGAGGAAGUCCAGGCCGUGUUGAUUUCUGAUGUUGGUCCAUUUUCUUCAUUUUCAGCCCGUUUCUCGCUCUUUUUACUCUCUUAUGCUCACCAAAGUAUAAAACAUGAAAUUAAAGGAUUAGGAGCAUCGAAUUCACCAAAUCUAAGGAGAAUUCAUCCAAAAAUAUGCUAAGCAUGAGGUAAAAAUAUGUAUAAAUUAUGGUUUAUUAAAUACCCCCACACUUAAGCGUUUGCUUGUCCUCUAGCAAAAUCCUCAACUCAAAAUCAAAAUAAAUUCUUCUUAACUUGUAACCCCUAUCAAUAAUAUCUCAAAAUAAACCAUAAGUAAUCAUGUAUUGAGAAUUCAACUAGAAAAGCAUUAAAGUCUCAAACAUUCCAAGUCGAGCAUUUUAUCACGAAAACAUAGGUGUUUCCCCUCAUCUAAGUGAUUACCUUUGAUUCAAAAUAUCACAAAGUUUUAACAUCCUCACUAAAGAUUCACUCAAAUCACUCGAGGUGUUUAAGGAUAAUAAAUGAAGCACUCAUUAGUCAAUAUGAAAAGUUAUUACCAAAGGCUUGUAUGAAAGUCAAAUCUCCACCACUAUAAAUUGAGAUGAUACAUCAAUCAAAAGGUCUUUAGAGGGUUGUAAAGUGGCUUUUGUUAGGGGGUGUAGUCACAAGCUGAAAGAAAGGUUAGAAUCAAGAUUGAAUUGAAAAAUUACCUAACUAGAAAAAUAACUAGUCAUUACUUGAAUACAUGUAAACUUCUUCUCAAAAUAUGAAAUUGAACACUUAAGCUCGAAAACAACGAAUUACUACUAAUAUAUGUAUGUAUUAUAAUUUUUUUUAAGAACAAGUCAAAUAAUAUAGGUUAAUUAUCAAAAAUAAAACAUAGCUAAGUAAUUUAUUCAAAUUAAAUCUCGACAAAAAUUGGGAUCAACUUGAUUGAGGGGAUUUCAACAGUAAUAGGUUAUAGGUUAAUAUUGAGGGUAAAUCAAUGGAUAGUUUGUUAGGCUCAAAGGGGUUCACUAAGGACAAAUUAUGAAGGUAGGCUUUUGUGGAGUGAGUGGGUUAAACCUAAGUGCCUUUAUCAUCUCGACAUAUUAAAUCAAAUGGUGUGGUCUUGACAUGCAUAAUCAAGCAAGUUCUAGAAUAACAAAUCAAUACUGACGCACUCAUAAUAAAAGUGAGCAUGAAAGAAAUAAAAUAUGAUCUAAAAGCUUAAAAUCUCACAAAAAAUUAUGGCUUUUUGAUGUUGAACCUGUGAAUUUCAACUCAAGAUAAUACCUAAACUUGGGGAAACAACCUAAAAAUUUUAAAUACUCAAAAAUCAACUUAUCAUGUCUGAUUUUCUAAUUCCUUCAAAGUUUAAACGGUCAAUGCAUAAAUACCUAUGUUUUAAUUCAAGACAUAUCAAUAAAAAUCAUAAAUUAAUCAAAAUUCAUUCUAAUAAUGAUAUGAGAAGAUUAUUUGAGAACAAGACAAAAUUUAAGGAUUUUUUUGAUAAUGAUAUAAAGGCCCCCCACACUUAAGAUGUACAUUGCCCUCAAUGUACAAAGUUAGAUUUACAACGAUAUAGAUAUAAGAUCAUAAGAUAGGGAGAGAAGUGAAACUUCCUGAAUAAUGAAUGAACUCCUUGAAUUGGAGUUAUGGAGAAUAAUCGGCAAAGGCAAUGAUAAGAUUGGAGGAGGAUACUUCGGUGGUGGUAGAGGUUGGGUUCCACAACCUCAGUGUCCAGCGAAGAAGUUAUCGUGGUGGUCGAGCAAGACAUUACAGUUAUGGAGAACCUUUUCCAGUGGAGUUUCAAGUUUCUAAGUGAUGGUGAGCUUUGGGGCUCUUAGUAACUGUGAUAAAAUCAAGAACUCUUUAAGAAAUGUAAGGAAGCAUAAUUACACGUAAUGAAAUAGCUGAAACUAUAAAUUAUUCAAUAAAAAUUAUAAAACCUAAAAAUGAAAUAAUAUUAAAGGAAAAUAAAAUAAAAAGUACUUAAAAAUGUAAAUAAAAAUAAAAUAUAAAAAGUUUUUAAACAUCGUCAUCGCUGGAUGGUUCGCAAGGUGGUGGUGGUGAUGAGAUGUGAAGGUGCUGACAAAUCUGAUGUAGAGUAGCAUCAAUGUUAUCAAAGCGCUGAAAACACUAUUGCUCAAAUCAAUAAGGCACUCAGAGAUGUCAGAGUAUGAAAUCGCCGCAUGAACUGGACGAUAGAUGGGUUGUGGCUGAAAUGGUGGGUCCUCAUGACGUGGAGGGACAUCAUUAGUAAUUCCUCCGGGUCCUCCUCCUCGGCUGACUGGAUGAGGCGGUACUGAGCAGAAUCGAUUCCAUGUCAUUUCUCGAUCAUCCUCAUAUGUAGCAUGCUUGAAAUACCCUGUGGGGACAUCUGGCCGAUGAGAGUGAGCGAGAAUGAUUGUGCCACUGUGUUAAAGAGUCCAAAGUGCCGAAUCAAUCGAGUCACAUAGGGGCCAAUAGAGAUGACUCCCUUCCUAUGCCGUUCCGUCUGAUGGCGAAUGGCGAAGGCAAUGAAAUAGGCGAGGUCGAAGAUGUGCCCAUUCGCCAUGCUCCAUAAAAAGUAGGCAUCGUGAGUGUUGACAAUGCCGGUGCUCUCUUGUCUUCCUGUCAGAGUGUGGGCCAAGAGGGCGUGUAGGUACCUCAAGGAUGGAGGGAGAGUUGAUGUUUUGGAACGGUUAGGGUCGUAGGUGGCCGAGGGAGGGACGAGGGCCUCCAGCACUUCGAGUGAGAGUAAUGGAUGUGGCGAUGAAGGAUGUCGAGUUCGUUGUAGUCCAUGAACUCCUCCGUAUACAGCCCUAGUACAAUUUUGAACUCCGGUACGCUCAAUUGGCACACUAAACCACCAAGACGAAACUGGACCGUUGUAGGAUCGUCGAACUCUGUCAUAACGGUUUGGAAGUGAAAGGUCGAAUAGAGUUCCAGUGUGAGCUUAAGGUAUAUCGGCUUGAUGAUCCCAAAGAAGAGCUCCCAUGGAUCAGUCGACAGAAGGGCUCUGACCGCGUCAACCAGUUGGACUUGUUCAAGUGCGGCCCAUUCAAUGCAGCGGCCCACACCUAAGGGUCAGGCCCGAAGUAUCUAAAAGAGUUCUUCCUAAGGUCCUAAGGGAAACUAAAUAAAGGGGUGCCUGAUCUCCACGGUAGGACCCAAGGAUGACACUGCUCAUUUCCUUUUCUUUGAAGCGGGGACAGCGAUUUUCUUACCAUGGUUUGACAUGAUAUCUGCAAUGGCAAGACGAAAAAAAUAAUAAAUAAAAAAGUAAACUUACUCUCCAACAAUAACAUGAAAAAACAUAUGCAAUGCAUGUUAAAACUAAUAGAGAUACUUUAUAGGAGUCAUGUACUAAAGAACAACUACGCUGAAAAAUAACCCAAUCAGAUAUAUUAAGUCAUUACUACGAAUAGGAAUAUGAUAAUAAUGCCUAGUGAAUGAAUGCAUAUGGAAAUGAUGAUAUGGAAAAUAGAAUGAAGUCCAUGGCAACACAAGAAUGGUGGUAUCAUAAUGCAUCAACUAAGAUAGCAAGAAACAAAGAGCAUAAGCAAGGCUAUUAUUAGAACUAUGAAGAUUAACAGUCAAAAUAAAACAAGAAAAAUCGAAUUCAUAAACGAAAUGAAGAGAAAAGAAUGGACAAACGCAAAAGCUUGGUAGAGGGAGGAGCUUGGGCCGUCGUUAGUGGUGUUGUGGUUGGCGCACGGGCGUGGCAGGAAGGCGUGGGCAAGAGUUACGGCGGCUACAGUUAGGGAUUUUGGGGAAGGGGAUGAUGAAUAUAAGGGGUUUAUUCAACUCGUGUUUAUCGCGAUUUUUAAAUUUGGGCACGUCUGAAAUUCGUCCCACGCCGAUGUCCUUUGGGCGUGUUGGUGCACAUGGCCGUGUCGUACGGUCGUGUCCUACUUCGUUCACUUCUCCCACGCUCGUGUGUAUAAGCACACGCCCGUGUUGUUUGAUCAGUCUUGAGCACGGUUGGUGGGCACGGGCGUGUCGCACACUUGUGCUAAAUUCUCAGUUUCAACCACGAUUUCAAGACACGGGCGUGUCACACGCCCGUGUUGAUUUGAAAGACUCACCCACGGCCACGUUACACAGCCGUGGCAACUUAUCACAUCUCGUGUUAAGCAAAAAUUUUUCCCUGUUUCCACACGGUCGUGUCGCAAGGCCGUGUCUCCUCCCGUAGUGUGAGCACGGCCUAAGGCACACCUGUGUGCCUCACCGUGUGAAUUAGAAAACCAGUAUUUCAAUGACUCAGUUAGUGAUUAGAUGUUAAAAACUAAAAUUUUAAAGAAGGUAACACUAUUAGUGCUCGGGUUACCUCGCGAAAAGCAUUUAUUUAUAGUCUAAGCUCGACUUACCUCUCUGUUGCAUAGUCAUGGUAGUGCAAGGAGUUUACACUCCUCAUCCCUGCUAUCAAUUUUAUCAAAAUAAGGUUUUAGACAAGUACUAUUUACCUUAAACGUACCGAAUUUGGGAUGAAUUACCUCGACUGUGCCGUAUGGGAAAAUACUAAGUACCGUAAGAGGGAUUUCUCCAUUAGGUUCAAAGGUGGCAAUCCGAAGGUCUGCUGCAUCUAAUAGUACUUUGUUUCCAACCUUAAGUUGAGUUGGAGAAAUAUUGAGCUCGUCAUGGCAUGGUUUUUUUUAUCGUGUGAUUUCGAUUUCUGUGUCUGCCAUUCAUCUAGUUCCUCAACCUGUAGCCUUGUUCUUCAUAGAUGGGUUCUUUGUCGUUAUUUGAAUGUGGCUCAAGUGUGUUUCUCGAAUGUGUUUCCUGCACAGAGGGUUUCACCACAUGAUCAGUACUGAUAGAAUUUCGAGCUUGAGGAGUAAUUGAUUCAUCACCCAUACGAAGUGUGAGUUUACUUGUGCCAACAUCAAUUAUAGUUUUAGCAGUUGCUAGAAAGGACCGUCUUAAAAUUAAAGGUGCGUCGCUAUCCUCUUCUAUGUCUAGAACAACAAAAUCAAUUGGGAAAAUAAAUUUAUCGAUUUUUACCAAUACAUCUUCAAUGAUACCCCUGGGAAAUCUAAUAGUUUUAUCAGCUAACUGAAUACUCAUCCUAGUUUGUUUAGGUUUCCCAAUACCUAGUUGUUUAAACAUUUUAUAAGGCAUGAAAUUGAUACUAGCCCCUAAAUCAGCCAAAGCGUUAUUAACAUCUAAGCUACCAAUUAAAUAAGGAAUCGUAAAACUCCUUGGAUCUUUCAAUUUGUUGGCCAUGAUGUCUCGUUGAGAGCACCAAAAAUAUCCUAUUCUCUGUAAAAUAGUAAAAAUAACAGUAAAAGGGAAGUAGGGUCGAAUCCUCAGGGACCGGAUUGUACAAAUGCUCGUUUCUUGAAAUCCUGGACAAUUUCUUGGCCAAGAAAACCUGCGUUCCUGAAAAAUAAAAAAAAUAAAAUUAAGAAUCUGGAAAAAAAAAUAGAAUUUAAAGGGAAUUGAAAUUGCGAAAUUAAAUAAAUUGUCGAAAUUAAAAUGAGGAAAAAUAAAUAGAGUUGGGAAAAGAGAAAGUUUCUUAUGUGGCGAGAUUCCAGGCUCCGGUUGUCUCGUUCCGCCUUGGGUUCAAUCCUUGGCCUUUAAGUAACCCUUCCCAACUCAAGUAAGCCAGUUAUAGUGGAAGAGGAUGCCUACGACCACCAGCUCCAAAGAUUAGACUUACGAUUUUUAGGGAACCUGACUCUAACCAGUAAUCUAUGCUAGAUCAACGCUUCUCAAUGGCGAAUCCCAAGUCAUUUUGUCUCUUUGGCUCGCCAACCUUUGACGCAGUAAAUUAACAAACCGACUGUGCAAUCCUUUCAAAACAUACAAAGCGGUCGCCUUUGCAUAUGCUGAAAAGCUUACUUCUUAAGGGCCAUGGACGGAAGCGUCAGCCCGUAGUGCGGAGAAACGAUGAAUACUUGGCGAGAAGGCUAAGUACGGGUUCUAGGCCUCAAAAACCCUUUUUUGGGGAAUAUUGACAACCUUCAGCUAGAUAGGUUUUAAUGGCUCAUGAUAAUGGUGGAAAAGGAAAUAAAUAUAAAAAUAGAAAAUAAAAUUUUAUUCAAAGAAAAUAUGAAGAAACAAAAGCCUAGACUUUUAGGGGGAGAGUGUUUAUAGAAAAAGAUGAACACCCCAAAUAGAGUCACUUCACCCCCUAUUUAUAGUGCUAGGGAGAUAAUCUAAUUUAACUUAAAUUCUAAAAAGAUAAAUACAUUUAAUUAAAGAUAAUUAAAAUAAAAUCCUAAAAUUAAAUAAUCCUAAUAAUUAUCUUAAUAAUAAUUAUUCUAAUAUAAAUAAAAUGGAGUCUUAUAAAAUAAAAUCUCUUCUUUUUGAGUUUUCAGUCCUUGUGUCAUCCAUGCUCGCACUUUUGGAACAAUCUUUUUCCUGUGUCGCAUAUCAGCCCAUUGUGUCUCCAAAUUCGCACUUUUGUCCCUUAAUUUUUCUUUUUGCCUCCAAAUCAGUCCUUUAAAGAUAAAAAGACAUAAAUAGCUAAAAUUAGUAUGAUCAAGCUCAGAAUAAAUAUAUAAUUAGCACAUAAAAACAUGACAUUCUAGAGUGUUAUCAGGCCAGCUUAUUUUGCAGAAUGGCUGAGCAAACUGCAUUCAUCUCCACAUGCGAUGCCUCAUCUAACUUCCGUUUAUUCGCUAAAAGCUCCUUUAAAAAUUUGACUGUGUUCAGCAUCUACGAAAAAGCUUCAAUAAACGGUAAGUUAAUAUGUAAUUUCUUUAAAAUUUUAAGGAAUUUACCGAAUUGUUCGUCUGAGUGGUCUUUCCUUGUCGUAUUUGGGUAUAGUACACGUGGUUUGUACUCUUUACUUACCUGUUUUUGCUCAUUAUGGUCCACCUUACCUCUACCUUUACUUACCACAAUUUCUUGCCUUAGUUCUGGUUGAGGUGCAACUAACCCUUCCUCAUCUUGAAUGGUAAUCGCAUUGAGCUAUUCCCUUGGAUUAGAUUUAGUGUUACUCAACAGGCUACCUUGUGGUCGUUCAGAUACCAAUUUAGCAAGCUGGCUUAUCUGAGUUUUGAGCCCUUGAAUCGACACUUGUUGAUUCUUAAGUGCUUUCUUGGUAUUCUAAAAACAAGUUUCUAACACUGAGAUGAAUUUUGUUAGCAUCUCCUCAAGGUUCAGCUUUUUCUCUUGUUGGUAAGGUGGUUGUUGGAAGCCUGGAGGUGGUGGGGGUCUCUGAUUUCCUUGGCCUCCCCAUGAAAAAUUUGGAUGGUUCCUCCAACCUGCAUUUUAAGUGUUACUAUAAGGAUUAUUUUAAGAUCGAGGAUUAUUACCCAUGUAAUUCAACUGCUCAUUUUCCAUACUGUGGCCAUAAGGUGGGUAUUCUGAAUUGCUUGAUCCACCUCUACUUGCUUCGCACUGCAUUACUAGGUGAACCUGUGAAUAACCAAAUAACCCGUCAAUUUUCUUAUUUAAUAGUUCUACCUGACUAGAGAGCAUCAUGACUAAAUCAACGUUAAAAACGUCAGUUGUUUUAGUCGGCUUUGUCCUCAUUACUUGCCACUGAUAAUUAUUCAGUGAGAUCUCUUCUAUAAAUUCAUAAGCAUCUUCAGAUGUCCUAUUAUUGAUAGUCCCACCAGCGGAUGCAUCGAUAAGUUGCCUUGUUGAGGGGUUUACACCGUUGUAAAACGUCUGAACUUGCUGCCAUAGAGGCAACCCAUGAUGAGGGCACCUUCUCAACAGAUCUUUGUAUCUCUCCCAUGCAUCAUAAAGCGUUUUUAGAUUCAUCUGCAUAAAAGAAGAGAUAUCACUACGUAAUUUAGUCAUUUUAGCCGACGGAAAAUAUUUUAAUAAGAAUUUUUUAUUGUCAUUUGUUCCCAAGUAGUGAUUGACACUCGUGGUAACGAGUUCAACCACUGUUUAGAUUUGUUCCUCAAUGAAAAGGGAAAUAACCGAAGACGAAUGGAAUCAUCAGAAAUGCCAUUAAUUUUAAAUGUGUCGCAAAACUCUAGAAAAUUUGCCAAGUGAUUGUUCCUCAUCCUGCAAACUAUCAAACUAAACAAAUUGUUGUAUCAUUUGAAUUGUGUUAGGUUUUAGUUCAAAAUUAUUUGCAGCAACAGCUGGCCUAACUAUACUUGACUCAGUUCCUCUUAAAGUAGGUUUAGCAUAAUCAUACAUAGUACGCGGAGUAGGAUUCUGAUUAGCAGCAAUCGCAAGAGGUAGCGGAUUUUCCUGAUUUUCAGUCAUCUCCUCAGUUGUGGUGGAAAUAUCGUCCUCUUGCUCUUUCUCUGUGUAUCUUAGGCUUUGCCUUAUUUCUCUUCGAUUUCUGUGAGCUGUGCGAUCGAUCUCACUAUCAAAAAGUAAUGGUCCUGACGGGUUUCUUCUAGUCAUGCACUAUAAAAACUUGCCAUAAGCGAAUAAACGAAAAAUAAGAAUAAGAAAAUAAAAUAAAAAUUCAAAUUGCAACAAAAGUAAAAUGGCUAAAGUAAUAAAAAUUGAGUGUUCCUAAUAUCUUCGUUCCCCGGCAACAGCGCCAAAAACUUGAUACGUGAUAUUCGCGACAGGUUUUAAAAAUUUAUAAUUAAUCAUUCUUGAAACUAACUAUUAUCACGAUGAAGCCAAAUGUACCUAUCGAACAGCAAUAUAGCUUUAGCAAGACCGGAUUGUCAAACCUAAAGGAACCAAGAGUAUUAGUAAUUGCUUUCUUUUUAUUAUCUAGCCUAAAAAUUAAGGGAUUUGUUUAUCUAACUAAUUAACUAAACUAAGGGUGCACAGAAAGAAAAUUGGGGAAAAGCUUUUGGGAAAACUCAAUUGAUUAAGACAAUACCCAAGGAAAAAUCCACCUAGACUUCACUUGUUAUUUGACUCUGAAUCAGACGAUUUAUUCAUUUGACUUGAUCCGUAGAAAUCCCUAAGUUAUAUUAUUAUCUCUCUCGAGACUGAUAACGUCUAACCCUAGGUUGAUUAAUUGAAAUCUCUUUCUAAUUAACACCCUAGUGUUGCAUUAACUCGAUCUAUGGACUCCCUUAUUAGGUUUCACCCUAAUCCGGCAAAAUCUUGUCACCCUAUCUCUAAGCGUGCAAUCAACUCCGCUUAAUUAUGAAAAAUUUACUCUUAGACAGGGACUUUUGCUCCUCUGAAUAAGGGCAUUAACUUGAAUCAAUAUCUUGGAAGAUUAAACCAAGAAUUAAGAACACAUAAUUAAGAAUAAGUCAAAUAUUUAUCAUACAAUUCAGAUAAUAAUAACAAGAUCCGUCUUAGGUUUCAUUCCCCUUAGGUAUUUAGGGGUUUUAGUUCAUAAUUAUGAAAGAAAACAUCUCAAAAGAAAAAUGAUAACAAAAUAUAAAGAAAACCCAAAACUCCUGAAGGAAAUUGAAGGAGAUCCUCAGUCUUGACGAAUAAUCCAGAUUUUGAGAUGGAUCAAUUGGCUUUGCUUGAGUAAUUCAUUGCCUCCUACUCCCUGUGUGUCUUCUAAGUGCCUCCCCAGGUGUUUAAAUAGGCUUUAGAAUGCCUAAAAGCCCUCAAGAGUGGCCUUUUUCGAAUAAUACUGAACUUGGGCUCGACAGGGACACGCUUGUGUGACACGCCCGUGUGCGAUUGCUUCAGACCAUGGUCAAGGCUGUUAAAUAGGCACGGGCGUAUGGUCUAUCUGUGUGAGGAAGUCCAGGCCUUGUUAAUUUCCCAUGUUGGUCUAUUUUCUUCGUUUUCGGCCCAUUUCUUAUGCUCACCUAAGUAUAAAACAUGAAAUUAAAGGAUUAGGAGUAUCGAAUUCACCAAAUCUAAUGAUAAUUCAUCCAAAAAUAUGCUAAGCAUGAGGUAAGAAUAUGUAUAAAUUAUGGUUUAUCAAUGGACUAUCACAGAAGGUGUCAUAGGUUUCUCCAACAUGGGCUUAUACAUAAUUUCAUGUAUUGUGAUCUGCCAUUUCAAAUUAUACAUUAUCGAAGGCUACACCAUAAGCAUAUAUACAGACAUAUCUUGCAAUGGGUCUUAGCCAUAUAGCUUACACACACAUUCAUGUAUUGUAAUCUGCCAAUCCAAUCUUCAUCUUAUUAGAGGCUACACCAUGAGUGUUUCCAAAUCAAAGUAAGAUGUCAUGGGUCUCAACCUUAUAGUUUAUUCUUGUUUUCGUAUCGUGAUCUGCCAGUCUAGUUAGCAAUAUAACUGCCCUACCAGAGGCAUCAUAGAGGAAAAUUUGCUCAGCAUUUACUUCCCUAGAUGAUCACCUUUUUACUAGCUCAUACAUCUCCUACAUCAGACCUUACCUGCAUGCUUACCAAACAUUAUUCUUUUUAAUAGAAUUUAUACAUAUCAUCGUAGCACAUCUUUCAUCUUUGCUAAACUCAUAUUUAUACUAAUUUCUGUAGACAUCAUCAUCACAUAUAUAUAUGCUUCUUGUUUGAACAGUUCAUAUCAAAAAGUCAGGAUAGAGACCCACUUAACUCUCAUCUAUUGCAGUUCAAAGUUCUGGACUCAACCACCCUUCUCAAACCAACAGUAAAAACUGCUUACAAAACAUAGAAUCACCAUUAAAACUCAUUUACAUACAAAUUACCAUCAUCUUAAUCACUUUUCCGCUGCUAAUUAAUAAAUAAAUGUUGAGUAGUAAAUAAAUAAAAAAUUAACUAAGUUUUCAAAAAAAAAAAGUCACUGUGAUGAGAAGAAUAAGUUUUCAAAAACAAAAGUCACCGUGAUGAGAAGAAUGUCAAAAUUAAUUGGUUUUUGUUAACUCAUAUGUUUUUCUAAAAAUAGGUUAAGUUUUCUUCUGAAAUAAACAAAUAUUUUGAAAUGAUUGUUUUAUAAACUCCAAUCAUAGGCCAUCUUAGUGGUCGAUGUAAUCUCCCAAAUUCGGUUCUAACAUCUAGGUUGGGUUGGAGAGGUUACAAUAUAUAUAGAAGGAUUCAUCAAUAAUGGAAACUUGAAUACAAGCAAAGAAAGAAAUCAAUCAAUGUGAAUUACUAACAAGUUCAAAAGCAUAUAUUUGGAUUAUAUUUUGUAAAGUACAAGAAUGUCAAGGAAUUAGACAUUUUGUUUUGAUAGUGAUUAUAUUUUAUAUAUAUUUACUUUUAUGCACUUUCAUAUUGAGUUGAUCAACAGUUUUGAAACUUUAUAGAAAACUUCAAGGUAUCACUUGUUGCGUAAGUGAUAUUUUACUAAGGGUGCAUAAUUGGAGGCCUCCUAGAUAUGUGAAAAUAAUGUUUAAAAAUCCAUCAAAUAGUAAAAACAUAAAUGAAAUAGCAUAUUGAUAUAUAUGGUAUCUUGAGUGUUGAAUUAAACAUUCUUUAGUAAAAGAAUGUACAUUUUGCACAUUGUGGGUGUGUUGGUUUCUUAUAUAUCAAUUAAGCACAAAUUAAAGAAAAAUAAUAUAUAUCACCAUAGUGUUGUAAUAUUUUGUAAAAUUUGUAAAAUUAUAUAAGCAAAAAAGUUUACCUAUCUCGUUAAAUAAAACUCAUUGAGUUGGUUCUUAAUAUUGAAGAAUUAGAGUGGUUGACUUCUUUAUUCAUUUUAUCCAACUACAAGUUGGAUUAAAGUUGUGGAAAUAGAAUGGUUGAAAAUUUGUGUUAAUGAGAAUUAAAGUUGUGGCCACAACUGAUGCCGACUAUUUUCUAGAAACAGGGACUGAUGUCCAAAACAUGUAGUAAAAUAAAAUUUUAGACAUGUUAGCAUAUGAAUUUAUUAUAUUAUAGAUUCAAUGUAACACCCCUAUCCUAUCUCUGUUGCUGGAUUAGGAUUUCAGACUAUUACUAAGAAAAAUAGAACAUUUAACUUUCCAACAGAAACAAUUAUACAAUUAAAUACCAACAUAUAUCAAUUAAAUCUAAUCAUGGCAAAUAUUACACUUAUAGACCUUGAAUCGAGCCUAUGGAGCCCUAGAAAAAAUUUAGGAACAAUUUGGGAUCAAAUCGAAACAAAUCAAAACAUUUUGAAAAAAAUAUAAAAAUUUGGGAAAACAGGGGUCACACGGUUGUAUGGCCAAGUCGUGUGACAAAGCCUACACCGCGUAAACAUUAGAAGUCAAAACACUCAACUGUGUCCCAGCCUGUGUGUCUACUCAUGUGUAUAAUCGAAAUAGGGUCACACAGCUGUGCUGCAGACUGUAAACCGUGUGUGUAUUCGAAGUUAGGUCACACGACCAUGUGACCGACCGUGCCACAAACUGUUUUGAGACACACGGUCGUGUCACAGACCAUGUGAAAUAUGCACCUAAAAUAAUAAAUAUACACGACCAUGUGUGGUGACUAUGUGUGGCACAUGGUCGUGUGGUAGCUUGUGUCUCAGGCUGUGUGCUCCAUUUUUAACCCCUAAAUUAAGUUAAUCAAGCAUCAUUUCUUGCACAGCAAGACAUACCAUAUCUAACUAAUUUUACAUGGUAAAAAUCACAUUCAGAUCACCAAAUACAUACCAAAAUUUCAUUCAUCCUAUGUCUAACCAAUAUACCAUCAAAAGGCAUCUCAAUCCAUACAUUCAUUCAACUCAAGAACAAAGUUACAAUAAAGGAACAAGUUUUAUCAUUAGUUAACCAUUCAUGCCUAAAACCACCAAUCUAAUUGACGAAAAUAUGGGCAUACUCAACAAGCAACCAUUUCAAAACAUCAUCACCAAAUCUUUAUAUACCAUUUAGGAUCAACUUAAUUAUAUCCAACACAAGUACACAUCCAAAACAAAGCACAUCACUAGAAAUACCAAAAUAACUUAACGAUUUACACAUCAACAAUAAGACACCACAUCCCAAAAUGAAAUACAAAAGCUACCGAGAUGGCUGGAUAGUGUGUGCUCCAAAACAAUUCGUCUAGUCAGUCCAUAAAACGCCAACUCAACCAAUAUAGAUAAACAAAAAAGAUAAGUUCUAAUUCUUGAUAUUCAAAUGCAAGAUCACACCACAUUAGUAUAUAUUUAUUUACAUCAUAAAUGAUACCUUCCAAAAGUCAUAACCAAUUCAUCAUCCAAAAUUUCUCAAUACAACCAUUAACAUUUAUAAAACAAAAACUUCAUAGAAACAUUUAUCAUUUAGUAGUAAUAUAACUAUCCAACAAAAUUGAACAAAUAAAUGAGUUUUAAGUCAUUUGAUGCAUAUCCCGCUGAACUAUAGUAACUAGACUCGGAUACUCAAUGAUGCAUAACAGAGGCACCAAAGUGCAAACAGAGGAAGGAAUAUGCAAUCAAAGGCAUUGAAGUGCAAACAAAUGCACCAAAGUGCAAACCCGUACAAGCGCACAUUAAAACCCUAUUGGCAUACUAAUCGUAUCCUAAUCAUUUACUAUGUUCAAUGGGGCAUUAAGAAUGGGGCAUUAUACUUAAAAUCGCAAUACCAAUAAAUCCAUCAUUUAGAGGCACUUCUUAUUUCCGUACACAUAAUAACAAUAAUUACCAUCAUCAAACAUUCAUUUUAUAUUUGUACUUAAUUACAAAUUUUAAUAAUAUAUAAGUAACUAAUGAAAUUUCCCAUAUAUACCAUUAACUAGAAAAAAAUAAUAUAAUCAUAAAGAGAUACACAUAUACAUAUUAUUACAUUAUGAACUUACCUGCAAUCCACUUCCAAAUAAUAUACAGGGACUACUCCGCAAUUUUUCUCUUUCCUCGAUUAUUGUCUUUUUGACUCGGUUCUUGAUCUAUAUAAUAAUUAAAUUUAAUUUAUUAAAUUUACAUAAUUUAAAAAUCAAUUCAAUGCAUGACACCCUUAUGUUUUCAUUAUUUUCACAUUUUCCUUAAACUUUUACAUUUCUCACAAUUUAGUCCCUAAACCCGAAAUUCCAAAAUUUAACAAAAUUUUACAAUUUUCCAUGCUAGCCGAACUUCUUUCUAAACUAGUACAAUCCCCAAUUAUUUACAAUUCACAAAAUUUCUAUGCAAAUUUUAAUUAUUUACACAUUGAUCAUUAAACUCAAAAUUAACACAAAUUCUUUUACAAAAAUAUCCUAAUCAACAUUCAAAUAUAUACAACUACCAUUAAAAAUCAUGAACACCAAAAUUCCAUUACUAACCAAUCCCUAAAACUUCAACAUUUUUAUAAUUUCAUCCUCAGGUUUAAUAGUUUAAGCUACAACGAGUUCAAAAAAUAUAAAAAUUAUUAAAUAUGUGAGAGAGAAACACUUACAUGCACCAAUUUGCUAACCGAAACUUUAAGCUCAAAAAAUGGAGUUUCUUUUUUUCUUUUUCUUUUUUGGUAGGAGAGAGUUGAGAAGAUGAUGAUACCAUAUUUUAUCUUUUGUUUCUUUUCUUUAAUUAAACUAAUUACCAAAUUAACCUUUUAAUCUGAACUAAAUUAUUAACAUAACAUGACCAUAAUUUUCCAUUAACUAACCAUAAGGUUUAUCUAUCAAUCAAGUCCAUUAUUUUAGUUUUUCUUUAAAAAUCAAGCACAUUUAACUAAUAAAAGCUACUUUAGCAUAUUUUACAAUUUAGUCUUUUUUACUAAAUUAACUAACUAGACAUUAAAAUUUCUUAUCCAAAUUUUAAUACGACUCAAAUAUAACUCUAUAAACAUAAAAUAAACAUAAAAUACUAACUCACUUGUUGGAAUUAUGGUCCUGAAAUAACCAUUUUCGAUACUACUGAAAAAUGGGAUAUUACAUUCAAUCUCUAAUUUAUGCUAAUGAAUGUGAGAGAAUAAUUUUCUUUGUAUAGUAAUACUACAACUAGAAUGUGUUUCGAUCCUAUUCUUAGAAACUGAUAGUAGAAACCCAACUUUUAAUUAGAAACCUCUUGUUUUAAAGUUCAAUGGGUAAAAGCAAGUUAUCGUUAUAUGUCUGUGAUACACUAGUAAAACUCAUUAUAGAAAAAAAAAGUUUAAUGGAAACUAGUGUUAUCCAUUGCGUAUAGAGGAUGAAUUUGAAUACUAUUAAUGAAGUUCAUUGUUUAUUGUUUAAAUGUCUAAAGCAAGGGAAACAUUAAAAGAACUCUACCUAUAUAAACAUAAGAAGUGAUGCCACUUCAACAAGUAAAGGUAGGGUCUCUCUUGUAAAUGUUUAUUAUGAACAAGAUAAGCACAUGAUCAUUUUAGUGCUAAAAGUGAACAACCUCUGAUAGAAAUAUAAAUGAAUAUUAUGUGUAGUGUAUUUCAACUUCUAAUACUAGGAGUUGUGGUUCAAUCUUCGGACACCAACGACUUAUUAGAACUUUGAAAAGCAUCCGCUAAUUGAUGGUUCAUAUUGAGAGAUAUCAUCUUAUAUGCAUAAUAUUUGUUGGAGUGAAUGGCUAUAAAGUAUGGUACCAACAUUUAAACUAAGGGUGAUUGUUAGUAGUUUAUAAUGUUGGCAGUAAAAAUAUUUUAUUAUGUAGAAAAGUCUAAUAACUUAUAAUUAUUGGCCAAAUAAUUGUGUUGUAAAGAGAAUUUUUGUAUGUAAAGUUGUCUUAUAAACUUUAUGUAAAGUUGUGUUGUAAAACAACACAAUUAUAUGAAAAGGUAUCUUAUUAAAAGAUAUAUUCAUAUUAAAGGGUAUCUCAUAAAAGAUACAUCUAUUGGAUGUCUAUAUAAAAGACUUUUCUAUUAGUCAUUUAAAUUGUUUUACUUGGAGUGUUGAGGCCUUUAUUGUAUCUUGAAGGUAUUUUAAAAUCUUAAAGAAAGUGCUCUACAUGCCUCAAAGUCGUUAUAUUUUAUAACAUUAUUUUAUUUUUCUAACUUCUAUUUUCCUAUUAUUUAUUUUUCUAACAGCCAGAAUAUAGAAAAAUUAUUAUGUUUCUAACUAUAUAUUAAAUACGAGUACUACUUGGAAGCCAGCACCCACAAACAUGAUAAAAGUUAAUUUUGAUGAGAGUUUUGACGUGGAAGCAAGAAAUGAGGAAGAGGGUAGUUAUGCAGCAUUGUGAUGGUUUUUUAGUCCGACUACGCAACCAUCCAAUUUAGGGUGCGUUCUACAUUAAGGUGAAAAAGCACUUAAAAAGAACAUUUGGUUUUUACACUUAAAAGUGUGAUGGAAAAAUACUUUUUCAUUCAAAUACAAAAAUUAAGAUAUAAAUGCUUUUGACUUUUAGCUUUUACAUUAGAAUGUGAAAAUUAUCAAAUACUAUUAUUUAUAUUAACUAUUUAAAGUGUAUAUAAAAAUUAGAUUAAUUUAUAUUUUAUAUAUCAUUAUAUUAAAUUAUUUAAAUAUUAUUUAUUAUUAUAUCUUUUAAUAAUUUAUAUAUCAUCUAUUUUACAAAUAAUUUAUAUUAAUUACUUCAAAAAUAUUUGGAACUUAUAUUUCAUGUACCAUUAUAUUAAAUUAUUUAAAUAUUACAUAACUUAAAAUGUCCUUUUCUUUAGACAUGAUAGACUUUUAACGGGAAUUUUUUGUAGUAACGGAGAACACCAAAAACUAAUGAGUACAUUUUUUCAUAGCACUUUUCUACCACUUUUCAACUACAACGGUAAUGGAGAACUAAUCCUUACUAAAGUUACCGAAGCACUAGCUUCCACUGUAGCCAUUGAAAUGGGGCUCCAAUUGGGAUUGCAACACAUUAUUAUUAAAAGAGAUGCUCUCUAAGUGGUUUCGAAGUUGAAGGAAGACAAAGAAGACCUACCAACAAUCGGACCUUGAUAGCAAAGAGUUGAAUACUUGCUAAACAGGUUCAGCAAUGUAGGUUUCAACAAAGAAAGAGGCAUGCUAAUGAGGUGGCACAUCAUCUGGCCAAACAGGGUGCAAUGCCCAAUUUCUGCCCGGGCCUAAUCAAAACAGCCCAAAGCAGAAAGCCCAAUUUUUCUAGACCUAGCCCACAACUAUUUUCAGCACCACCAUGCACCCAUUUUCUCCACCACUCUUCCACUCCAGAACACCCACGAACGGUUUCCCUCCAUGCCAUACAUACCUGCAAAAUAGAUUAAUGACUCAUAGCAGUUGACAGUAGAAAGAAAUAACAACAGGAAACGGUUUUGUACUUGGCUAUAAAGCCUUUGAAUUUUUCAUUGUUUGGUUUUUUUUUCUUUCUUUUUUUUUUCAGAGAGAUUGUACACGAAAUACAUACAAAAAUCAAUAGAAAGCAAUUCAAAGGUGAUUUAUCGCUAUUUAUUGUGUUUUUUUUUUCAAUUGGGUUUACAUACAAGUAUAAAAUAUAAGAGAGAACGAGAGGCUUACCGGAGUUAUAUCGCAUUCACGCCGUCGGUAGGACUAGCUCCGUUGGUCACGAACAGAUUUUGGGAGUGGUUGGGGGCUUGAAAGGAGCCUUUCGGCUGGAGAAUAAAGGGAGAGUGAGGGAGAUGAUAUAAUAUCCAAGGCAUUUAGGGUUUUUUUUUUUAAAUAAAAGUUAAAAAGUUUUCUUUUAAGCACAAUUUUUAAAGCGGGUUUUAGGUGAUAAGAAUGAAACAGCAUGGGGAAGGGAAAGGAAUAGCGUGUUUAACUUGGUCCACGUGCAUUUACCCCUUAAAUGGGUAAUUUUCGUUAUCAGUCCUCCUUACUUGCGUCACCCUUUAUUUGAUCCUAUUCUGUUUCUUUUAUUUUUGCCUUGAAUUUUGCGCACCGUUCCAAUUUAGUCCGAGCAUGAGUGUUGCUUUUUUGGGGUUGGGAACAUUUUCAAUUUUAGCCCUUAUACAUUCACGCGCAUUGCGCUUUGGUCCCUAUUUCAAUUUCAAUGGUUUUUUUAUUUGUUAAUUGUCCCUUUAAUUUUGCUUUUCUUCCAAUUAAGUUUUUAUUUAUUUUUUCCAUAAAAUAAGAAUAUAUUAUUUUAACAUAUAGUUUUGUUCAACAAAAUUCAUAUAUAUUUUUGUAUAUAUUAUUUUAACAAAAUAAGAAUAUAUUGUUUUCUUCAUAUGCAUAUUUAUUUGUUUUUUCUUCCAAAAUAAUUUCAUAUAUCAUUUUGUAUUUAUAUACUUUACUUAUAUUAAGUUUGCUUUAUAUCAUGUAUAUACGUAACUUAUACUAAGUUAUCUUUACUCUAAGUGUACAUUAUUGACUUCCUUUUAUUUUAUGUAAAUAUUUCCUUUUAUUUUAUUUUUUUAUGUAUAUUAUUGAUUUUAUGUUAUUUUAUGCUUGUUUAUUUUCUUCUAAGGACCCUAUUUUAAAUGGUAUAUUUUAUUUAUUUUCGUAUGCUAGUACCUUUGUUUUUUUUAUGUAUAAAUUUUCAUUUCAAGUAUUAUUUAUUUAGAUUGACAAAUACUAUGCUAUGUAUUACUUUUUUUAUAUAUAUACAUUAUGUGUCUUGAAAUAUCGUUUAUAUAUUAUUAUGUCGUACAUUAUUUUUAUUUUUAUUAUUUUUUGACCUAUUCCAGACUGUCAUAUAUGUUACCUUAAGAUUUUUAUACAUUUGUUUGAUUGCAUACUAACGAUUCCAAAUUGCAUUUCUUCUAUAUUAUCUAUAUUAUUUGUUAAAACUUGCCACAUACUUUUAUCUCAUGUACAAAACUAAGCUUGUACACAUGUUAUUGCAUCAUGAUCUUUAAAUUCCAACUCUUUGCCCAACAUCAAUCGUUUUUUAUCCCCAAGCAAACCAAACAAGUAUUUUUAAUUCGGUUUUUAUAACUGUUAAUUUAAAAAUUUCCCAAAACAAAGGCAAUGUUUGAUGUUUGAAAUUUUGGAAAUCGUGCCCUAACGUACUGGGUUUCGAUUUUUCGUUUAUCCAAAAUAAUCAAGUAUCCCCUUUAAAGUUUCGUAUGUGUUUUCUAAACUUCAAAACAAGGCAAUGUUCUAUGUUUUGGAAAUCCGAGAAAUCGUGCCCUAACGUGUUGGAUUUCAAUUUUUCGUUGGACCAAAUGAUCGAGUAUCCUUUUGAAAUUUCAAAUAUAUGAGCUUUUGGAAAUUAAGACUCGGUUGUGGUUUCGAGGGUUUAGAAAGUUAUGUCUUAACGUGCUGGAUGUGAUAUUUUAUUCCUUCAUAACAAAAGAAUUCUUAAUGACCAAUUUGAGUUAUUCAAAUAUUUUAAAAGAAAUAGUAUUUCAAAAUAUCUUUUAAAUUUUAGACAUAAGGACAUUGAUUAAUCAAUUAGGUACCAAUUUUGGGCGUCACGAGGGUGCUAGCCCUUCCUCGUGCGUAACCGACUCCCGAACCCUUUUUUCUCGACUUACGUAGACCUGAAAUUAUUGUUUUAAUAAAUCAAAAUGUUUUAUUAAAAUGAUCAAUUUCAAGGUGAUCCGAUCCCACCUCAGAAGGGAUCGGUGGCGACUCCAAACUUUGAUUUUUCAAAGUCGAUCCCCGUUUUUUUCAAACUUUUAGAAAAUGGUUUCGACACAAGGCCUUAAUUGUUUUCCAUCUUUUGUUCAUAUGUUUGUUUUGAAAAGGUAAAACAAAUCCUCACCUAUUGAUGUUAGAACGGUUGAAUUGCUAAAAGCAUGCUGCGUGCAUAACCAUGCUUUAGGUUAGGCUUCAAAUCAAAUAAAUUUUAAAUUAUUUUUAUUUGAAUUUAAUUAUAAAAAUAUAUUAAUAUCAAUAUAAAAUUAUAUACAAUUUUAAGAUAUUUUAUUUUUCAAUAAUAAAACGAAUCAUCUACCAACCCUAAUUCUUCAGUUUUCUUUUUAAUUAGAUGAUAACUCAAGCCAAGCUAACCAAUAAACACCCAAAAUCUACCAUCAUUUUCAUUUUUUUUUCUUUUGUCACAAAGUAGACAGAAGAUUCGGUUUGGAUAAGCUCUACGUUAUUAAGUCAAAAGCUGAAGUAAUUUUAAUCAUAAAUUGUUUUAUUUGUUUAUAAUGCAAAACAAUGACCCAAUUAAUACAAUAAAGCUUUAACUUUGUGGGAAUUUUCAGUCCAAAAAAAAAAAAACAAUUUGUGGAAAUUUUAGAGCAGUUGACCAUUUCUUCCGAAUUAGUUUUCUCACUUCUUGUCCAUAUUCCAUGUAUAUUAUUUCAAGAAAUUAGGUUUAGAAAAUUGCAUAAUUCAACCAUUGAACUAAUAAAUAUUAAAGAAAAAUUGGGUGGCAAAAAUAUCUUAUUAAAAGCGAAUCAUAUACUAUUAAUAGAUUUUAUGAUUAAAUUAGUUUCACGUGUUAACGGGAUAUUAACUUGAUUUAGUAAAUUAUAAAAAUGUCUUUUAAUGUUUAAAAUAAAUUAUAUUAUUUGAAGAUAUUUUAAUUUUUUUAUUAAAAAAGGAUGAUGUCUCAAAUUAACUCACAAUCUAAUUUAAUUUUUUAUUUUAAUAUCGUAAAUGUUUCAUGUUUUAUUAUUAAUUUGUUUCAAAUUAUACAUUUCAUUAUUUAUUUUAUGUUAUUUUUAAACAUAUUUGUGUUCUAAAUACCAAAUUUUCACUUAAGGGUAUCAGAGACGAAUCUAGAGAGGCUAGUAGGGGCCCCGGUCUCCUUAAAAUGAAAAUUAUUAUUUAAGCCCUUUAGAAAAUUUUAAAAUUUUAAAUUAGUAAAUGUAAAAUUGCACUUUGACCCCCUAAAAUUAUAAAAAUUUAAUUUAAUCUUUUAAAAAUUAUAAAGAUAUAAACUAGUAAAAAUUAAAAUUUCAUUUCGAUCCUCCCUAAAACAUAUUUUUGGCUUCACCUAAAGGGUAUGACUAGUAUGAAUAAUUUUCUUUGGAAGUCUUAAACAAACAGGAGUUAAGUAAAAAGGAGUUUUCAUACAUACAUAUUCGGCGUUGAUGUUUCCCUUUCGAAAAUUUAAAUUAAGACAUAGGAAAAGAAACUAAAAUUGAGCUUAAUUUAUGCAGUUGGGUUCAAAAUUUAAUAUUUAAAUAUAAAAAUUCUAAUAAUUCGAUCUGGUCCGUUUCAUCUAGCAGACUAAUAAUAAAUCUUAAAACAUAUUAUAUUUUAAUUUUAAUAAAACCAAAACUGAUACAUUUGACCUACAUCUACAUGUGAUCUAUGCUUAAUUAAAUUAGUCUAAAUUAGACGAGAUCUUGAUUAGGAGUCAUUUAUUUAUAUUAUAAGUCCCUGAAACAUGCAAAACUUACAUUUAAAAAUUAAUAUUUUUACGUUGUUGUUAGAAUAUAGGGUUUGUUAAUGUUUUCGUGUGAAGUCAGCUGUUGACAUUACCAACCAGAUAAUGAAAAGGGAACAUGGCAAUUAUUCCAUCCUAAUUGUCACACACACACACACACCUAAUUAAGUUAAUCCAAAAAUUACCUAACGUUUAGCAUUUCAAUGGUAGAGUCAGCUCUUUCUUCUAGUCUAUCAAAAAAAAAAAAUCAAUUUAACCCCUAACUCUUGGAUGGAAAAGUUUUUGCUAUGAACUUGUUGAAGUGAAUCUAAUGUGAUAUAAACACAUCACAAUCCAUGUGUGUAAUUAAAAAUAAUAGAGAGAGAUUGAAUAAUUUAAAGGGAAAAAAAAAGAAUUUACUCCCUCCACUAACAGGUAACUCUUGCAGCUUGAAUCUACAACGUAUGUAUGAAAGUGAACACCUUUAAUUAAUGAAUAAAUACUAAAGUUCUAGGUUUAGAAUUAAUUAAAUAUCAAUACAAAAAGUUAAUUACUUUUUGAAAUAAGGAUAAAUCGGUUUUUGAGGUUUGAUAAUUUUUCACAUAUCGAGGUUUGAAUUUUUUUAUCUUAAGUUCUAAACUUGACAAUAGUUCUCAAGAUGUGAAGGUUUUUUUUUUAUCCAAAUUAGGCUAUGAACUUAGAUAGAAAUCUUAAAAUUCAACCCUAAUGUAGGUAUAAUUGUCAAGUUAAAAAAAAUUCAAAUCUUAAUAGAAGAAUAAUCUACUAAUUGGUAACCCUAAUAUAAAAACAAUUGUUAAGUUGAAAACUUAAUUUUUUUUAAAAAUUCAAACCCUUAUUAACUUUAGGAUUUAACCCUUUGAAAUAUUGCGUUAAUUAAUAAGUGUAAGAAUUAUUUUGUGUUAAUGAUUAAAUAAAUAUUUAAGUGGAGAUCAAGUUUUACCUCAUUUGUCAAUUGUCAGGUGAAGAAUAUAUACCCUAAAGGCCUAUCAAAAACGGACCUAUCUCUAUAUAUCUUUACUAAUUUACUAUUCAUUUUUAAUGAAAAGCAAUAAAUUAAUGAAAACGCUAUAAAACGAAAACUACAUGAAUAAAUUAUAUGUGUAAAAUUGAAAUAUUUCGUGACGACAUUAUUGAAAAAAAUAAUCAUUAACCUUAAAUAUAAACAAUUAUGACAUUUCUAUAAAAUAUCAUUUAAUAUAUUGCAUCAAAGUUUUAAAAAAUGUUAUGUGUAUACUUUUACCUCGUAUAAAAAAGUCUUUCAUUUCUCAAUUCUUAUGGCAUAGUAAAUUUAUUAUUAAUUUUUAAAAAAAAUGGUUAUUAUUUGUGUAUUAAAUAAUUAUUGGGAUAAAUUUUAAAGUUGUACAUGGAUUUUGGUUACAUGUUAAUUAUAAACAUUAACUUUGAUUUUAUAUAAUUUUAUAUAUGAAAUUUUAAUUUGAUCCAAUUCUCAUAAAUUAUUAACAUAAUUAUUGAUAUAAUAUCAUUUUAUGUUUAUAUGCUAUAUACAGAAAUAAUUAUAUUUAUUCAAUAUAAAAAUUAAUUGAUGUAUUUAUUUCUUUAAACGUAUAUGAUUGAAUCAAAAUUAAAACAUCAUGUAUACAUUUGAACCAUAACUAAAAUUUUACAUAUAUAAUUAUACAAAAUUACAAUUCAUAUACGUAAUAAACUAAAAUUCAAUUUUUUUAUAAAAUUAACCUAAAAAAUUUAAUUAAUUACAUAAAUGACCCUUUUUUUUAUUAAACACGUAAAUGACCUAAAAUCUACCGUGAAAAUUGGUGGAAGCAAAGAGUUUGGCACCACCAACAUGCCACGUCAGCAACCAAGAUAAAAAAAAUCAACUUUUUGGUAGAGCCAUGCAUAAUAGUGCUACUUGUAUAAAUAUCAGGAAAAUACUAUAAUUUCUAAAAAAUAAGGGACUUUAAUAAAAAAAAAUUCUAUUUUCUGGUGGAGCCAAAUAAAUUGGCGCCACCAGUUUCCAAUGUGAUUUUUUUUAAAGUUUUCUAAAAUUUUAAAUAUAUUAAAAAAUGUUAAGUAUAAUUAAUUUUAAAAGUUUAAUAUAUUUAAAAAUUUAAUAUACUUAAUAUAUAUUUUUAAUAGGUAAAGAAAAAAAUGAUUUUUUAAUAUAUUUAAAAUUUUAAAAAACUUAAAAAAUUUAAAUACUUUAAAAAAUAUUAAGUAUAACUAAUUUUAAAAUUUUAAUAUAUUUAAUAUAUUUUUAAAAUAUUUUUAAAAUUUUUAAUAUAUUUAAAUUUUUUAAAGUUUUUUAAAAUUUUAAAUAUAUUAAAAAAAAUUUCCUCAUUACCUAUUAAAAAUAUAUUAAAUAUAUUAAAAUUUUAACAUAUAUUUUUAAAAUAUAUAUUAAAUAUAUUAAAAUUUUAAAAUUAGUUAUACUUAACAUUUUUUUAAUAUAUUUAAUUUUUUACUAUUUUUUAAAAAUUUUAAAUAUAUUAAGAAAAUAUUUUUUAUAUUUACCUAUUAAAAAUAUAUUUUAAGUAUAUUAAAUUUUUAAAUAUAUUAAACUUUUAAAAAUAAUUAUACUUAACAUUUUUUAAUAUAUUUAAAAUUUUAGAAAACUUUAAAAAAAAUUACAUUUGAAACUGAUUGGCUCCACCAGAAAAUAGAAAAUUUUUAUUAAAGUCCCCCCAUUUUUUAGAAAUUAUAAUAUUUUUUUGAUAUUUAUACAAGUGGCGCCAUUCUACAUGGCUCUAUCAAAAAGUUGAUUUUUUUUAUCCUGGUUGCUGACGUGGCAUAUUGGUGGAGCUAAACUCUUUACCUCCACCAAUUUUCACAGAAAAUUUUAAGUUAUUUAUGUGUUUAAUCAAAAAAAUAGAUCAUUUAUAUAAUUAAUUAAAUUUUUUAAAUUAAUUUUAUAAAAAAAACCCUAAAAUUCAUAUAUAUAACUGUAAGAUUUAUGUCCACAAUUAUCUAAAGCUAAUCGGUGAUAAUUACUAUGGAAAUUCAAUGUACUUAACUAAUUGAUUGAUAGGAACAAGCAUGAUGAAAUCCAUGAUUGGGAAGAGAGAGAAUUCAAAAACUGAACGCCCCAUUAAUCCAUGCGAAUAAACUUUUUCGGUAUACAUCAUAAUUCAUUUAAUUUUAUCAUUAUCUCUAUGCUAUAAUUAUGUUUAAACUAAAAUACUUGAGACAUUAAUAGUUUGUGUUAUAUAAAUUAUGAUAUCCAUAUAUCCAUAUUAUAUAUAUAUUUUUAUAUUAUGAAUGCAUUUAAAAAAAAAUUAUGAAAAAUGUAGAGUCCGCAAAUAAAAAAUGGCUUACAAAUUAACAGAAAACCAAUUUUAUUUCUUGUAAAUUGAUUUACCAUAUUAAAAAGUGUAAAUCUUUUUUUAAAUUUAUUUACGAGUAAUUUUAUUUUUAUAAAAAUUAAUUUUAGCCAAGCCUAAUAUUAUUUUAUUAAUAAUAUUAUUUUUAUUUUUAUUUUUAAACAAUUUAAAAUUAUUAAUAUCAAAUAUUAUAAUGUUGAAUCCUAGUAACAUACAUAUUAAAUUAUUUAUAUUAUGUUAUAUUACAAUUUUAUUUUAAUAAUAAAUUUUAACAACAAUAAUUUUAAAUUUUAAAUCGUAUUUUUAAUAUAUUAUUGAAAAAUAUUUAUAUUAAUAUUUUAAUAAUAAAUAUAUAUUAAAAUUUAUAAAUAUUUAAUAAUAAAUUUUUUAUAGUAUAAAAUAUGAAUAUUUUAAUUAUAUAGAUAUGAGUAUUUGUUUAAAUCAUGCUUAAGUUCAUUUAUCUCCCAACUCUAAUGUGUCAUUAUACACUGUCAUAUAUAUAAUAUAUGUAAUUUAAGCAUUAUUUAUUAUUAAAUUUAUAUAUGAUAUUAAUUAUAAUAAAAUAUUAUCUUAUUAUAAAAGAAAUUCCAAUUGUCAAAAAGAAAUGUUACUCUAAUAUUUUGUAAUAAGUAUAUUUAUAUUGUAUUUGUUUCACUAAUAACAAAUUUAAAAUGAUUUUAGAAAAAAAUAUCAAAAAAUAAAAAAUAUUUUAAUCAAAAUAAUUCAAAUAAAAAAAACUAAACUUUUCCAUGAAAUCAAUCCAAUUUUAAGAAAACAUUAAAAUUGUUUUAGGUGAAACAAAAGGAACCUAUAUUUUAUAUAGUAUUUGAAAAGUUGUUGUAUCUAGAAUUAUUAUCUUUAAUUUUUUUUAGGUCUAUUUCUAAUUUUCAAAAAUUGAGAAGUUAAUUUCUCUAUUUUACUUUAUCAGUCCGUGCUUAUUUUUUAUUAAUUUGUUGUGUAUAAAUGGUUAAACUAUUGAUUUUUGUUAAUUACUAGCAUGUAAAUUGUUAAACUACUUGUUCCCAAGUCAACAGUAAAGCUUAAUAGUAUUAUCAAUUUGGAAUAAUUUCUGAGAUUUUUCUUUUAUUUUGCGUGAUUAAGAUAUUUUUCAUGUACGGUUUAAGGUUUAUGAAGACUAAUCCUUUCGAGUUUAUAACUACCCUUUUUAAUAAUGUCGUCUUUAAAAUUCGAGUUCUCUUUCUUGUAAGUACAAUAUGCCUUACAUUUAUAACUAAUACUUCUUAUUUUUGUAAAAUAUAAGAAUCAAAUUAUGUAGUAAGAUUAAUUUCUAGAUUUUUUAAAUUUAAAAUUUAACAUUUAAAAUAUUAUCAAUCACAUCACACACAAAACCAAAGAGCAAGAGAAUCUAAAAAACACGUGGACCAUUAAUUUAGGAAUGGACAGAAACUCAUGCAAAAUGGUUGGAAAACACGUACAGGAUUAUAUAUACUAAUCAUUUUUAUUAUUAAGCAGAAUUGGAAAUAAAUAAAUACGGGCGAAACCACUGAAUAAUACAGCAUUGAAAUGCAAUUUGUCUACAUCAUUAUUGUUCUUCACUUCAAACGCGGAGACUAGUCUAGGGUCCCAAUCUUUUGCUUUAUCUCUCUAGAUAUAUCCUUUUCAAACUAUCUUUUUGUAGCUUUAUUUGCAUCACAGCAUUAUCUUUUCCUGCAAACAACUGUUUAAAGAUUAAAACAUGCAAAACAUUCUGAAAUAAUGCACCCUGACCAGAUGACAAAAAAAAAAGAGGAUUCUAAUGUAUCUUACCUUGGAUUGGAGCACGGUCAAAGCCGUGGCUUAGUAGUGGUGAGGAGGAGGGGGUGAAGCGUAGACAUAAUGGGGUGGGGGUGGAGGAGGAGACUUGUAUUUGUAAACUGGAGGAGGAGGUGGUGGAGACUUGUACUUGUAAGGGUGCUUGGGGGGUGAUGGUGGGGGUGGUGGGGGUGACUUGUACUUGUAGGGGUGCUUGGGUGGUGACGGUGGGGGUGGGGACUUGUACUUGUAAGGGUGCUUGGGGGGUGAUGGUGGUGGUGGUGGAGGUGACUUGUACUUGUAGGGGUGCUUGGGUGGUGACGGUGGUGGUGGUGGGGGGGACUUGUACUUGUAGGGAUGCUUUGGUGGGGAUGGUGGUGGUGGUGGUGGGGACUUGUACUUGUAGGGAUGCUUAGGUGGGGAUGGUGGUGGUGGUGGAGACUUGUAUUUGUAAGGAUGCUUUGGUGGUGAUGUUGGUGGAGGUGGUGGGGACUUGUACUUGUAAGGGUGCUUGGGUGGUGAUGGAGGUGGAGGUGGUGGAGACUUAUACUUGUAAACUGGAGGUGGUGGGGGUGGAGACUUGUACUUGUAGGGGUGCUUGGGUGAUGAUGGAGGUGGAGGUGGUGGAGACUUAUACUUGUAAACUGGAGGUGGUGGGGGUGGAGACUUGUACUUGUAAGGGUGCUUGGGUGGUGAUGGUGGGGGUGGGGACUUGUACUUGUAGGGGUGUUUAGGUGGUGAUGGUGGUGGUGGUGGUGGGGACUUGUACUUGUAAGGAUGCUUGGGUGGUGAUGGUGGUGGAGGUGGAGGAGACUUGUACUUGUAAGGAUGCUUGGGUGGUGAUGGUGGUGGAGGUGGUGGAGACUUAUACUUGUAAACAGGAGUUGGUGGGGGAGGAGAUUUGUACUUGUAAGGUUUCUUGUGUGGUGGUGGUGGAGGAGAGUAGACCGGAGGAGGCGGUGGGGGAGACUUGUAAUGGUAGGGUG